rnacentral:lncRNA from 1 species
UUUUUUUUUCCUUCCCAUCACUCUAUGCGUCUUUUGCCUGAAGAGCUGUGAUACAGAAAAUAAAGAGCAUUUCAUUCCAGGAACCGCAAGGAAGGAGAGUAUGAUUCCAGGCUCAGUUUAGCUGGGCAAGGCAUGGAGAUGAGCUCAAACAUCAUCUGGAAGCAGGUAUGUACAGUUCGCUUGCUCUGUACUGGCGUGGCGCGCAUACGGGAUCUCAUGUUCCUCACAAAGAUGUUUACUCGCACAGGAUCUUCUUGUUAAGGUUAAAGAACAUGAAGAAGAGAUUGCACAUCUAAGAAGGCAUCUUGCUGACUACUCAGUGAAGGUAUCAUGCAUACUGCAUACAAAAUAGUAUUACAUUACCUUUUCUUUUACCCCCUUCCACGUCCUCUGUUUUCGCCUUUCGGUAUGCAUCCACAAAAUCUAACCGGACCGUCUUUGGUCCGGCGUCUUGUGUUUCUUGGUAGGAAGCCAAAAUACUUAAUGAGAAGCAUGUUCUGGAAAAGCGCAUUGCAUAUAUGCGAAUGGUAAGUAUCUUCCAUCUUAUCAGGUUAAAAAUACCACCUUGGUAUACACAAGACCAAUAAUCCUAUAACACAUUUCUUUCCAGGCAUUUGAUCAGCAGCAACAAGAUUUGGUUGAUGCUGCAUCAAAAGCUUUAUCCUAUAGACAAGACAUCAUUGAAGAGAACAUCCGUCUCACAUACGCGUUGCAGGUAACUUUCUUCGCUGUUAUACUUUCUGUUAAAAUUCAGAGAGGCAGUUAACAUUUCAAUACUGAACUGAUGUUGCACUGAUGUGCUUGAUUCAACCUUACUGUACGUUCGGGAACCAUUUGGAGGCAUUUGUUUCUAGUAUAGCUAGUUUUCUUGCGUGAAAUGAAGCGUUUAUAAAGCUUAAUUUCAUCUCUGCUCCACAAAGCAUUCAAACAAGUGUAGGUGAUUUUUUAUGACCUCUGUGUAUAUACAAAGUAAUACUGGAACCUAUGGCCAGGACGUAGUCUAAUAAAUUAUUAUAAAACUGGCCAGUAGUACUGGAACCACCAGAAUGGGAGAACUGAGGCAUUAUUCUCUUACUCUAUUACCAUUUCUAUUAGAAGCUUAUUUUAUAUGGUGUUAUGAGUCCCCUUGUCUUCUUCAAUUGUUCUUUUUGUCCGGUUUGGUGAUGUAAUGCUGACAUGUACCUUUUGUAAUCCGUAGGCAGCACAUCAAGAGAGAGCAACUUUCGUAUCUUCUUUAUUGCCUAUUCUGUCGGAAUAUAAUCUGCAGCCUUCUGUUCAUGACGCUCAAUCAAUUGUUGGCAAUCUCAAGGUAUGUACCCCUUUUCAGUUUCCAUAUGUGUGCUGACAUUAUGCUUAUUUUGGACUUGAUUAAAUUCCAAGUUUCACCAAAUAAGCUUGUACAACGUGGAGCCGUGGAUCAGGAAAUUAGUUAUGGAAUUUAGGUGUACUAAGAGAGAGCUAACUAUCUUCUCAAUAGGGUUUCUAUGUGAUGUGAUGUGAUGUGAUGUAGACUAUACAGAUUAUUUAACAGACAACAAACACCUACGAUUUCUAACUUAAGAGGUUUAUGCUUGGCUUAAGAAAAAAAAGGACAGCUGCUCCAACCAAACCUCUUAAUGGAAUACUUUCUCCAGGCUGGUUUAGAGGGCCAGCUAAAAAGUCUCUGGUAACCAAGGCAGAGCGCACCACAUCAAUUUAAGCUCCUUAAUGAUGUUCCACCUCGGACAUGCAUGCCAUCCAUUGGCUGUGAAUUCUUUCCGCCUCCGGACUUCACUCUUGUGCGCGUGUGUCUACAAGGGUAAAUGCAGGACGGCCAUACAGGGAAGGGAUUUACUUUGCUGGCCUUAUAUGUCGGUCUACACGAUAUUUUUCCCCGGCCCUGUAAACCGCUCCAGAGACUGGUGGCGGACGGAGUAUAAGGCUAUAAGCUAACUUUACUUCACAUUUUCUUUUGUUUAUUGCCACUAUAUAUGGCUCCUUUUGCUCCUUGCUUUGUUGAACCUGGGCCUGUAUUACAUAACUUUUUAUUAAGACUGCAUUUUUUUUGUAGGUUUUGUUUAUGCAUUUGCAAGAGAAACUCAUUAUUUCUGAGGUAAGUCACAAUGAGCUUUGGUUGGAGUUUGCUCUUGAGAGUUGAGACAGUAGCUUAUAUGGACCUAUGUCCUGGCCAGUAGUGGGCUUGUUAUGCUUCAGAGCAUAGUGACUAUUUUCCCUCGCAGAACUUUGAAGUUGCCUUGUGUGCAAACUUGGAUGGUGCAGGAGAAACUGAAGGAAUCACAGUACCAGAUUACUCCUUGGCGCGCCGAGUCUUCAAAUAAUACAAGUGGUCCUGCGCAGUCACCUCCUCCUGGAAAUGCAUUGGUUGCUUCUGUACGACUCUACACUGGCUUUGUCCUUUACUCUUUGGAUGCAUGGAUAUUCUUCUAACUUGCCACGUUUCCAGAGCCAACCCAGCCUUGACAUUGUGCCACGUUUCCAGAGCCAACCCAGCCUUGACAUUGUGCCCCAGCAAGCAUAUUCUCAUGUACAAUCUCCAAUUUCUUCCCCCGUUCGAGCUAGACGGGAUUGGGAUUUACUGGCAAAUGACAACCGACAGGUCGUCCCAGCCGAGGCUGCUGCAACAAAUACAGAGCAUGGCAAUGCUGGAAGGACCUCUCCUCCAAGCAGGUUAUUACUGUUCUAUUAAGAGCUCAGCAUGACAACCUCCCUAGUUUUUAUAGUCUUCUCUAUCUGUAUCAUCUGUAAUUCAUGCUCCCCUUUUUCUGACCUAUCUAUCUUUUAUGAUUACCUUUUGUUAGUUUGUUAUUUUCAACUACAGAGCAUGGCAAAGUUGGUUGUCUUACUGGCUCUGUCUUCUCUUGUUUAUGCAGCAACCAAGCUACCAAGGAUGUUUCAGCGCAAGGGACUGAGCGUGAUCCUCGUGCUGUACGAUUUAACCUUGAAUCCGAGGAUCAAAACCCAUCAUUCACGGACCUUGUUAGGAGUGAUGUAUCAGAAAAUCUCGAGGGAGCUGAAACCCAAGCUUCACAAGAACCUCCUGCCGAGUGGAGUUCUGAAGGCGCACCUAGCUCGGCAUCUGGCCCCGACGAUGGAAACUUGCCUUACCCUUAUCUUCCUACUGUCCUUGAGGAGCCUAGUACUUCUUUCUCUGAAGGUGCUGGAUAAUUUUGAUUUAUGCAAUUUCAGUCUCCUUAUUUCUUCAGUUCUGAUGGUAAACAUUUUUUUUCAUGGAUAUGCAGUUGCAGAGGAUGACCCACUGCCAGCCAUAGAUGGGCUUAGAAUCACAGGUGAAGCUUUUCCUGGGAAAGAACUUCAAGCAAGUGGGUAUUCCAUCAACGGGACCACGAGUUGUAAUUUUGAGGUGUGGUUCAACAUGUUCUGAUAUUCUAUCAAAUUCCCAUCCUUUUGAGCUUGUUGUUAGUCACUACAAUUUAAAUGUUUGCAAAAAAAAAAACAUUGUGCAUGCAGUGGGUACGCCAUUUAGAAGACGGAUCGGUAAAUUACAUAGAAGGUAUUGUGUUUUCACCUGCUGCUAGGAGGCUUUUGUUGCAUUCUUUUGCUGUACUAUAACAAAAGGGAAACAAACAUAACCGUUGCCUGGUGUAGGUGCAAAGCAGCCCACAUAUUUAGUUACUGCUGAUGAUGUGGACUCCUUACUAGCCAUAGAGGUCCAACCUCUAGAUGACCGGAAAAGAAAGGUAAACCCUCUCAUCUGAUAUUCAUAAGUGGGGAACCAAUAGCUUGGUCUAUUUCUGUUCACAGAACAGAUUCUAUGCCCUUGAUUAUGAUUUGUCUCAGUAUGCUUAAUAAAUAGUGAGGCACCCGGACAUAGUUGUUUGUUUGGAAACUACGAAAGUGUAGACCAUCGGAGCUUUCAGUAUCACACUCGUAAUCUUUAAUUAUAUCUGAAGCAUUUCUUUUCUUUUCUUUUUUGGCAGGGGGAGAUCGUGAAGGUUUACGCUAAUGAGCAGAAAAAAAUUACUUGUGGUGAGUUUGCUGAGAAAAUAUUUGUAUUUUUGGUACAUAGCAUAAACUUGUGCAUGCUUGUCAUGAUCUAAUUGGUGAAGUAUCUGAGCUCGGUAUCCCCCCUGAGAAUUCCUAAAAUAAUUCUAGUUCUGUGCUGGUUGGUUGUUAAGCACAACAACGGAGAAUAUUACAAGAAUCAUAUUGCUGAGUGGGGAAUCGUUAUCUGUGCAGAUCCUGAAAUGAAGGAGCUCAUCAAGAAAGUUCUUUCCGCUGGACAUGUGUCAUAUGAAGUUCUACUACCUGUAUGCCCCCUUUCUUGCCCAAAGCAUUCUUGCUGCACCUGUUUCUUCAUGUCAUAUAACCAUCGAAAUUUUUCAUUCUGCAGGUUAGAUUCAUAGAUAUGUGGGAACCUGCGGUAUUGGCAAUAAAGAGGGAAGGCUACAGCAUCAAGUGUAAUGGACAGCGGGGCGUUGUUAUCACAGAGAAAUUCCAGCAAGCUACGGCGGUAUGGUUCCAAAAAAUCACUUCCCUUGAAAUUACUCUGUUCUAGCUUCUGAUUAUACUCUGCCCAGUGACAAGAAAGCCCGGUAUUUUUUCUGUGAUAAAAUCUUUUAAGAUAUGAGUACCAGAAUCUUUGGUAGUGGUGUGAUUUUAUACAUUUAGUAGGUCUCCCGAAAUUUAAUGAAAGAGACCGGUCAAAUUUGGCAGUGGUGCGAUUUUAUACAUGUCUAAUGAUAAUAAUUAAUUUUCGACUGCGCUGCCUUUUCAGUAUGCAGACUUGACAACUAAUCUUGUACUACAUCUAUUUGCAGAUCAAUAUCCCGUAUGGACAUCCAACCGAGUUCUCGAUCCAGUCUGCGGAUGGCGCCGAAUACAACCUCAAGCCUGGAGAAAACUCCCCGUGGGUUUUAAAACCAAGCCACCGCUAUCUUAUAUCUCUUACGUUUGUGUUAAUGGUCAACUGAUGAGGGAGAUACAUUCCGCAGGUCACGGGAUAGCAUCGUGCUCAUACUGCGGCUCUUCAGAAUGAAGGUGCGGGCAUUUUUGUUUUGCCUCUUGAACGCGCUUCGAUUUGUGAUUGCCACACCGAGUCGAGGCACACUUGAAGUUAAUGCUGGCAUGUGCUUUUUUUGUGUGUGUGUGACAUGUGAUGGAACUGAAAUGAAGAUGUUGACGCGUUCUGUUUGUGUGCAGGCCGUCGAGAAGAGCAAAGGGAGGAAGAAGGGCAUCUUCUUCAAGUAGGGUAGGGCGGAGUCGGGUAGACGGCUCGUGCUGCUUUCUUUCCUUCACUGUAGCUAUUCAUUCAUUUGGAUGCGGUCGUAGUCGUAGCGCGAUUAUUAUUCUUGGUUGUAGAAAGGAGGAGAAUGAAGGAGGACCAGGUAUGUGGUUAGUAGGUGGCCAACUAGAUAUAUAUCUGGGUUCUCAUUCGUGUGAAUGGUGUAUUAUAUUUAUAUUGUUGCAGUUUAUUAUGUGUAUUGUAUCUAUUUAUCAUCUGUCACUUUGUCCUUGUGUGUAAAGGAAGGAACAAACAUAGGCAUGGAUGAAUUUUAUCUUUUCUUUUGGCAGAUCUUUAACGGAUGGCUACUGAAUUUUGUUAGCAACCUAUAAACUGUUUACGGCCAACAGUUCCCCCCUUAGGGAUGUUGUAUGUAUAAAUACUGCACGGCUCGUCCCACUGUAUUCUCAUCUGUGCAUUCUCUCUCGUUCGCCCUCUCGAUCUCUCCCCCUCUAUCUUUGCAUCAUCGCCAAUGGCGCUGCCGGUGAGCCCACGCGCCAAGGAGAAGAUGCUGCUCCGCAAUGAUGACCUUGCGCCAAGCAGCGACGAGGAGGAUCCCUAUGCGCCACCGGACUUGGUCGCGCCUGACCCUCCCACCGAGGAGUGGUUUUGGAGUCAGUUUGACCUCGCUCUGUGGAAGAUGUUGCCACUGGCUGAAAAAGCCAGGCGUGUGGCGGCCAUGAAGGCGGACGAGAAGAAGCGCGAGGAGGAAGAGGCGGCUAAGGCCGCCAGGAAGGUGGAGGAGAUGGAGCUCUGGCGGGAGGCGCGUUGGCAUGCGCAGGAGGUUGAUGAAGGCGGCUGCUUCAACGCCAAGAGGGCCAGAGGCGCUUCGCGCCUCCUUGCUGCAUGGAGGUGGGCGGAUCGCGUCGAGAAGGCCAUCAACGAAGAGCUCACCUACGCGCUGUCUACAAUGGCCAGGGCGGAGGCCUACGCCCGCCGGGAAGCCGCCGAUGCACAUGUUGUGGAGUGUGAGGCGGAGGAGGUCAGCUCCCUCCGCGCUGGGAAGCCGGUGCGCACCAGGGAGUCUGUGGCCAGACGCAGGGAAAGGGCCCUCAUGAGGGACUAUUGAUUUUUAGUUAAUUUAUUACUUGUCUUUGAAUUUAAUAUAUUUGUAGUACAACAAUUAUCAUCACACGUAUAUGUGUGUGAUGAUAUAUAUUAUGUAAUGAACUGGAUUGUGGAGUAUUAUUGAUGAAUUUCUAUCUUAUUUACCUACUUGAUGUCUCAUUUUUUUUAGUAAAACUACCUAUUAUGAGCAUAUAUUUAUACCAACGUCAAUCACACACGUUUUCGAAGAGUUGACUAUUUGCGAUUUGGGCUACAAAAACACAUGAGGUGGCGUGAUCUGUACAGACGUUCUCUGCAAAAUAGAUGUUUGUGAAACUUCAAACAUCACAUACAAUUGCUUUCUAGUAAUCGUGUGAAUUGUAUCGCACACGGAGUAACUACUGAAGUCGUAUGUGACGUGUUGUUAUCAUCACACACAAGUCCAUAACUCGACCCCAACCAGUUUUAGCCCACGAUCUCUCAAAACUGAUCGCGUGCAAUGGAUUAAGCCAUUGCAUACAUUUUAUUUUGAAGAACAAUCUAAGGAUUUGGCCAUGGAAGGAUAAUUGAAGAAGGGGGCAACAUGAGCGUCGAAGAAGUUGGCAACAUGAGCAGUGCCAUUUUACAUAGAGUUGACACUUUGAAACUGGAAAUGAUGCGGAUUAAUCACAAGAUGGCAAACAUCUCUAGUUAUCAAGACGUGAUGGAUCCUAAUGAUCUUUGUAUUGGUGUUGUUUGUGCUUGUGGGUUUUGUCUCUCAUAAGUGGUGUUAGUUAUCAACAGUACCUUAUAAGUGUCACACGUUAAUGACAAUUAGUUGAUCUUGUGGAAAGAAUUGUUGUAUCUUAUCAACACUUCCGAUUAGUAGUUGAUGUUGUGGCCAUUGUUCUCAGUUAUUUUUUCCAUGUGUAAAUGAUGGUCUGCCACUGUUAGUUUGUGCAUAUAAUUAGGGGCAAACCUAAGUGAUAAUUGGCUCCUCUUCUUCCUUAGAAACAUCAUUAGAUGAAAUGUCCUGAUGCUCAUUAGCUGCCACUUUCAUCAUUUGAUGAAUCAACAUGUAUGGCUCUUGAAGUUGUCCUCUCGUGCAACAUAGGGGAAAGUCGAGCCUCUUUAAUCGGAAGUCCAUCUUUGUUAUAACCAUCUUCUCCUUAAUGUGAACAACUAAUUGUCACAAACAUGCAACUUACUUUUGUUCUUCUGAUGUCUUUCCUUUUUGCCAUGCUUUUUGGGUGGGGGUUUAACUAGUGGACCAUUCAUCUUUUCCUAAUCUCUCUCAUCUUUGUAGGGUAAGAUGGUAUGCUCAUAUGCCUUGCAAAAUGUUGCAAUGCUAUAACAUUUGUCCACUAGAUCAGGCUCAAGUAUUUCAUCUUUGCAGCAAGUAACACCAUGAUGGUAUCCUUUCCGUUUAUCUCUCUAAGUCCAUCGGUGUUGACUUGUAGAGCAGGAAUACAAUCACACACCUUCAUCAUUGCCUGUUUCUCAUAACAUAUUUCCUCUAUUAGAUUAUCGGCACUUGAUGGUGACCAUGCCAUCUUGUCAGAAUGACCGAACCAAAUACCCUUUCCCGCGAAAUAUGACAUGUUUCUACCAGACCCCACAAAAAAUCCCCCACGAAGUAACUGAACACAGAAAUACGGGCCAUGCGGAUCCGCGCAGUGUGCAUGCAACACAUCAAUUCCACAUCCAUAAGUACCGAGUCGUUAGCAGUAAACAGAAAAGCGCAAAGUUGAGGUCCUAUUCCAAACCCUGGCGUGUAACCCCAAUUUUUGGCAUUCCACAUGCCCAAACUAGCAGGACUAAGGCGAUGCGAUCCCAAUGCCCCAAGGGAAUAACAAGAUUUCAAACUUAAAAAAGGAUGGAUUCUGGGACACUUACCAAAUUCGGGCGAGCGGUGGUGUGCGCUCCGGGCGGUGAACAUAUGGACCAUCGGAAACCAACGUUCGUUUCACCCCGCCUUCCUUGGACGGACACUAGUUCUCCAAGCAACCUCCCGACUCAUCCUCAUUUCCUCGGCCGCUCAGAAUCAUCGAGCAUGUUCAACAACGGCGAAAAUGAAUUUUGAGGAGAAUUCGAGAUUGUCGGCGGGUGAAUUUCACAUCGGAUCGGAGUAGAAGAAAGUUUUGUUGGUUGCGGCGAGUGGUGACACACCCUCACACACAUAGAAGAGAAGAGAGGGGAAGGCCAGAGGAGGGCCGGCAGAAGCAAACAAAGAGGAGGGGAUUGAGUUUGGAUUCAUAUCACAACACAUCUUGGGUCCCUCCCGGUUUCCUCCUCUGUCUUCGUCCCGGACAAAACCACAGCGAACCAACCUCUCCUCCUCCUUCCUCCGGCGGAUCUCAUCUUCUCAUCCCACCAAGACCACCGAGAUCUCGUCUUCACAUCCAAGCGGCGCGAGCAAGGGAGGAGACGCGCUCGCUCGCUCCACCGUCAGCAACCAAGCCAGGUACGCCCGCACUCGGCCCCCUUGAAGAUCUGAGCUUUUGCCAGGGGACUCGGAGCUCAGAUCGGAUCGGAUCCGCCGCCAACCCGGACCGGACCGGAGCGGACCGGAUCUUGUUUCUUUCUUUCCUUCUUUUCUUUCUUUCUCCAAGAUCCCGAUCCCCACCGCCCUAAUUCCAUACCCGAUCCCUCUGACCACGAUCCCGUCCGUCCAUCGGCUGUGUCCUGUCCAGGCAAAGGGCGGCGAUGACGUUCGACAAGGUGGAGGAGCUCCGGCCGGGCACCUACGGCCACAACCUGCAGCUCCGGGUGCUCAGCGCCAAGCCCGUCGUGCUCCACAGGCCGCAGGGCGGCCGGGCCGGCGGCAACAUGCGCAUCGCCGAGUGCAUCGUCGGCGACGACACCGGCGUCGUCGUAUUCACCGCACGCAACGAGCAAGGUAGCCCCUCCCAGAUCCGUCCACUCGCCUCCGUUUUCCUUCUUCCUCUUCUUUCGCCCGAUUGAUUCACUUGAAGAAAUUUACUACGGCAUGCUUCUUCUUUCGCCUGAUUGAUUGAUUGAUAAUACGAGUACAUAAUCGGCAUCUUAUCUGUCAGAAAUUCUACUAGUUCAGGCAGAGCAUUUAACGGCACAGGAUGGGCGCUCAUCGGUGCUAUAAUGACACACUGGCUAAUCUUGAAAUCGUGAUGCUCUGCUGCUGCUGCUGCUGCUGCAUACAUGUUUCAGCCCAGAUAGCCUGCUGCUCAUGUUCACUCAUUGCUGGCUUCUUAACUUAAUUACCCUGUUUCUUCUUUUGCCUGCUAAAUUGCACAGUCGACAAACGUUUGACCCCUUGUAAUCAGGGUUUAGCUUGCUCAGGCUUUCCAGAAUUAGCCCACUUCUGAUCAUACCCCCUGUAUUAAUAUAUCGUGCAUUCAUCGCUUGGCUUGAUGAUGUAAUCAUGGUUUUACUUUCUGGGUUUGCAAAACUUCCUGGACCCGGGCCGGUUUCCGGUGGUGACCUGCCUCUCUGGAUUGCAAUAAAUUUGUUUUUCUUUACCUUGAGCCGGUUUCCAAUCUAUCUUGUUAAGAAAUUCUGCUAGUUCCGACAGGCCCGGCACUUCAACUAACUCGCACUAUAAUCACUGCAUGGCAUUUGUGGAAUGAUGUUUAAGUUGAAAUCAUGAUACUCUCUGCUGCAUGUAUGUUUCAGUCCAAACAUCCUAUCAAUGACCCCUCAUUGCUUGCUGGCUUAACUUGAUUACUAGUAUAUUGAUCAACUGGCCUGACUGGAAUUUAUCGUGCGUUUUCUUGCUCCAGUGGACAUCAUGAAGCCCGGGGCGGUCGUGGAGGCGAGGAAGGCGAGGGUGGACAUGUACAAGGGGUCGAUGCGCCUGGCGGUGGACAAGUGGGGGACGCUCAAGGCUGCUGAGAGCCCCGCGGACUUCAAGGUGAAGGAGGACAACAACGUGUCCUUGGUCGAGUUUGAGCUCAUCACCGUGAUGCAGUGAUUGAAGAGGGCUCCUCCUCCUCGCCUAGGAGGAGGAGGCAGAGGAGGCUCAGCAGCUGCUAGGCUGAGCACAAAGCAAUAAACCGGCCAAAAUCAUGGCUCUUGUUCUUCACCCCCCCUUCCCCCUCUCUCUGUUUACUGUUUAUUUGCUGGAAGUUUUGCUAGUCCUGCUACCUUUGGAUUAACUGUCAUUAGUAAUACUAUAUAUGUUUGUGAGGAGUUGCAUCCAGAUUGUUGUGAGUGAGUCCUGCUAUAUCCCUUUGUGUUAGACCUGGUAUAUCAAUUAACUGAUUAUGUUAAGCACUGGUGACAUAUAUCUACUACGGAAGUCCUUCACGGACGACAUUUUGCUGAACGACAUGCGCACCGAUGGCUUGCCCAUGGAUGGUACGACAUGACAUGCCGCGCGCUUGCCCAUGGAUGGUACGACAUGACAUGCCGCGCGCUUGCCCAUGGAUGGUACGACAUGACAUGCCGCGCAUCUUUCGGUUGGCAACUGUCGUCCGUGUAGCAGCGCUCUAUGUCUAUGAGCUUAGUGAAGUGAUGUUUUGCUUGCCUGAAUGUUGAGUGCUAACUGAUCAUGAUGAUGAUGAUAAUGAUAAUGAUUUUGUAGUGCAAUGUUGAUGUCUUGUUAAGGUGAUGGAUCAGCAGGCAGGCAGUUGGCACAAUCACCUUUUUGCUGGGUGGGGGGUGGGGUGGACACUAGGCAGGGGCCACCUCAGGACACCACACCACUAUGUUGUGUUGUUUGUGGUCUGGUCUUUGUUCUUGUGAUAGUUAUGGGACAGUCAAAGAAGAGAGGAGCAUGCAAUGGUGGCUGUCUGUUGUUGCAGUGGUUGCAUUGUUGUGCUGUCCUGCUGUCUUUGCUAGCUGGUAAUAAUUGCAAUGUGUUGUGCUUGUGAUUGGGCCACCCACAUCAUCACCAUCAUCAUCUUGAUUUAUCUUGUUGGAUGUGGAUAAUGUAAAGUGACAACAAGAUGAGCCAUAAUGCCGCGGUGGGCGGUACCACGGUGUUUUGUGCAGUACACCAAAAAAAUCACAGUGGUAGUGAUAUAGCUUUUGAUUGCUGAGCUACGGUGAGCCCUCCAUUUUUUUGACGGAAAAAGAAGAGAAUGAAAUGGUGGUAAUAUAUGCACAUAUAACUAUAAUUUUAUGUAAAUCCAAAAUAGUAAUGUUGAGAUAUAAUUUUAUUUUGCCAGACCAUAUUUGUCUUCAUGUAGCCUACAUGUGUUUAAAAAAAAAACUAUAAACCCAUCAACUCUUCCUCCGCUGCAACUCUAGUUUGUAAAGAUCCAAUAUAAUAUCACAUGCAUCUUUAUAGUGUUCUGGGUUUGGUUUAUAGGACAUAUUUUUCCCCUUUGUUUUCUAUACUACGUUUCCCAAUACAUUCCUUGUAAUGUUACAUUUAUUUCCUCGGAAAAAAAGUUAGGUCAUUUAGGGUGUUGUGUCUAGUCGAACCUCUAUGACGUUGUAUGGGUCAUGCCUUGCCGGCGUUGUAGCAUCAUUCUUGUUCGAGAUCGAAAGUGAAAUCUAUGUAUUGAUUGAUGGUUACAGGCGCUACUUAUACCAUCUGGAGAGACACGAGCGAAGGGAGGCGUCGGUUCCAGAGGGUAGGAGCGAAAGGCGUCUGUGCGGGACAAACCACACGACGGUUUGGGCAAGGGGAGAUUUCCCCCUAAUUAUAAAUUGUAAUUAAUUCUAACACUCCCCCUAAUCUACACUUGACCAUGUAGAAUCAUCUUCACAAUUGUCCGGGAAGCUCUAUCAUCUUAAAAAGAUUCUCCUCCAAAAGUUCUUCAUAAAAUCUUUGAUGAGAUCCUGAAACAUAUACUCACAAAGAGAGAUAGCGUAAUGCGAUGUUUGAACAAGGAUAUCUCAAGAAGAGACCCUCCCCCUAACGCUUGCAAGUCCCAAAGUCAUCGCAUACCAAUUCCAUGAACAUAUUUCUGGAAUGUAGAAUUUGGUAGAGACUUGGUAAAUAAAUUAGCAAGGUUGUCGUAUGAUUUGACUUGUAGAAUGCUUAUUUCCCUGCUUUUCUGAAGAUUAUGGGGGAAAACCAUUUAGGAGAAAUAUGGUUGGUGAUAUUACUCUUGAUGUAUCCUGUUUGCAUCUGUGCAACACAGGCCGCAUUAUCUUCAUAGAUAAUGGUAGGUGAUUUUAUCGAACCAAUUCCAUAUGACUGUUGUAUGUGGUUUAUCAUUCUGCGAAACCAUACACAUUCGCAUAUUGCUUCAAAUAAUGAAGUUAUUUCAGAAUGAUUGAUAGAAGUUGCCACCAGAGUCUGUUUCGAAGACUUCCAUGAUAUAGCAGUGCCACCAUGUAGGAACAUGAAGCCGGUCUGUGAUCUGGCAUUAUGGGGAUCGGACAAAUAGCCGGCAUCUGCAUAUCCAAUCAUAUCAGAGUCCUGGUUUUUUUGGAAUUGGAAAAAUAGGCCAAGAUCCUUUGUGCCUUGAAGAUAUCAAAAGAUAUUCUUCACUUCAGACCAAUGCCGUUUGGUGGGAGCUGCGCUAUGUCUUGCAAGAAGAUUCACUGCAAAUGCAAUGUCAGGUCUUGUGCAAUUUAAGAUACAUAAGCGCUCCAACAGCACUGAGGUAUGGAACUUCAGGUCCCAACACCUCUUCUCCAUCAUCCCUUGGUCUGGAUGGAUCUUUCUCCACGUCUAGAGAUCGAACCACCAUGGGAGUUUUAGAUGGAUAGGAUUUGUCUGAAUUUCUCCAAUAUUUUCUAGAUAUAGGUAGAUUGAUGUACCGUGAUUCCUGAGGGAAGGUGCUCAAGUUGAAUGCCUAAGCAAAAUUUGGUUUUACCCAAAUCCUUCAUCUCAAAUUCCAUCUUUAGGUGAUUGCGUGUUUCAUCAAUGUCUGGUGUGUUGUCGAUGAUGUUGAGAUCAUCAACAUAUACAAAAAUGAUGCAAAAUCGUGUAGUAUAUUUCUUGAUGAAAACACAUGGGCAAUCAGCACUAUUGGAGUAACCUUUCUGAAGAAGGAACUCACCGAGCCGGUUGUACCACAUCCGUCCCGACUGCCUUAAGCCAUAUAAUGACUUAUUCAACUUUACACAAUACAUGUUGCGUUUUGCAUUUUUAUUCGGGACAGAGAUUCCAUCACGAAGCCGGUAAUUGCCUUUGGCUCCUAGGUGCAUAUGCACCCAUUGUCGAAAUACACAUUUCGAAAAGUUGAAAAAUUUGGAACAAAAAUCCCGUGUGUAUAUCCGGACAUUUUAUGUGCGUGCACAAGGUUUCAGUGAAAAACGACGUUUUUUGUGGCUUGUGUAAAAAAACAAUUUCUGAUGCUUCAUUUUAACUAUCCACGAGGCAUUUCUUUAUCUUUUUUACACAAGCGAUUUGUACCCCACAUAGAUCCCCAACUUCCUGUGUGGGCCCAUAGAUGUCCGCCGUGGUGGUGAGAUUGGGAUGUAUGCAACACAUCCGAACUUAUGCAGUUGGGAAAUGCUAGGAGGAUUUCCAUGUACCAAUUCUAAAGGGGAAGAACUGUGAUAUGCAGUUGGCCUCAAUUGUAUCAAGUCAGUAGCGUGUGAAACAACGUGACCCCAACAAGAGGUUGGCAAGUUGCAAUUCCUCAACAAAGGUCUUGCAAUGAGUUUAAUCCUCUUAAUUAAUGAUUCAGCCAAACCAUCUUGUGUAUGGACAUAUGGAACAGAGUGCUGAACUUCAAUUCCCAAAGCCAUGCAAUAAUCAUCGAAAGCAUGUGAGGAGAAUUCUGCAGCAUUGUCCGUUCGAAUUGACUUAAUUCGACUUUCAGGAUAAUGGGCUUACAACUUAAUCACUUGCCUCAUUAUCUUGGCAAAUGCAUGGUUCCGUGUGGACAGAAGGCACACAUGUAACCAUCGUGUAGAUGUAUCAAUCAAAACCAUGAAAUACCUGAAAGGUCCAGACAAUGGCUGAAUGGGACCACAAAUGUCUUCUUGAAUACGUUCAAGGAACCGAAGUGGUUCACCUUGUAUUUUUGAGGUGCGAGGCCUCAAAAUUAGCUUUCCCGUGGAGCAAGAUGUGCACACAAAAUCUGAAGAUUGAGGAAAUUUUGACUCAAGCAAAUUAUGACCAAUGGAAUUGGUAGUAAUUUUUCCCAUCAUCCCGAUUCCAGGAUGUCCUAGGCGAUCAUGCCAGGUUUGGAAUGCGUUAACAUUCCGAAAAAUUACUUUGUAUGCAACAUGCUCCACGGGUUUGAUGUACGUAUAGUACAAACCAGACAAUAGAGAAGGAAUUUUCUCAUGUACCUUUUUGUCAUAUCCGCGAUCUUUAGUAAAGAGUAGAUACUCCUCUUUGUUGUGUUCAUGGGUUUCAAUAUGAAAACCAUUCUUACGGAUAUCUCGAUAACUAAUCAAGGUACGUGAUGAGUCAGGAUACAAUAAAGCAUCCUCAGUCGUCACUUGUGUACCACUUAGGAGGGUGAAUAUGUCACGUCCAGUAGCAACAAUCAUUGUAUCGCGUCCAGCGAUAGUUAGAAUAUCUCCAUUCAUCUUUUUUAGAGUUUGGAAAUAUUUCAUCUCCUUCAGUAUGGAGUUUGUGGUACCAUUGUCCACAAGGCAUAAUUCCUCAUCCAUCAGAUUGUCCCUGUAGAAAUCGGCGGCGAGUGCUCCCUCUCGACUCCUCUCUCUGUUGCCUUUUUCGCUCUCGCUGGCUGUUCUAUGUGCGUGAUAACGUGUUCGAGAUCGAAAGUAAAAUCUCUGUAUUGAUUGAUGGUUACAGGCACUACUUAUACCAUCUGGAGAGACACAAGCGAAGGAAGGCAUCGGUUCCAGAGGGUAGGAGCGAAAGGCGUCUGUGCGGGACAAACCACACGAUAGUUUGGGCAAGGGGAGAUUUUCCCCUAAUUACAAAUUGUAAUUAAUUCUAACAAUUCUUUCUUAACGAAUUCAGGUAGAUCUUCCGCAUGGUUCUGAAAACAAAAAGAACAGAAUGGGUCAAUUAUCUUCUCAUUGUUAACCGAAAGAAUAUGGCUUAUUUGCCUUUUAAUUACUACUAGGCACAAAGCACACAUGAAAAAAGGCAUGAUUGAUUUACUUGGAAUGAGCAGGCUGGUUGUUUUUUCCUUGAACUCCAAAAAAUGGGCAAUUUAUUAACCGAAAGAAUAUGGCUUCUUUGCCUUUUAAUUACUACUAUGCACUAGCAAAGCACACAUAAAAAAGGCAUGAUUGAUUUACUUGGAAUGAUUAGGCUGGUUGUUUUUUCCUUGAACUCCAAAAAAUGGGUAGUUUACCCUUUUAGCAAAGCACACAAAAAGGCAGGGUUACUUACUUUUAUGGGAUGUAAAACUCUUAAAAAUUCCAGCUGUUGACUGGUGUUUGUUAAUCAAAAGAAGAAAGGAGUAUAGCGAUCCCACAUAUGACAGAAAUUUAAACAGAGUACUUUGCGCUAAAAACAUCUCGCCGGAGUUCAUCAACCCAACAUACCAUAGUUCACCACGCAUAGCAUAGGGGAGUUUUUGCAAACCAUAAUAAUCAUACAUAGCAUAGGGGAAUCGAAACCUAGCAUAGGAGAUCUACUAGUCGCCGAAGGGGGUGGGCAGGGGUCUACUUCACCGGGGUUCUACUCGUUGGAGUCAGAUUCGUCGCCCUCAUCAUUGUCGUCGCUGGAGAUGACCUCGGCGGGCAGCGGCUUCCGUCCAUGAAUGGUGUCGUAGAUGAGGUCGCGGUAGAUCCGGGUUUGGAGUUGGUACUCAUCCCAGAGCAUCAGCAGCCGCACAACCGCAACCGCAUCUUCGGCAUCGGCGGCAGUCCUUGCCUCAAACCACACCCACUCGGCCUCCCACUGGCGCUGGAUCGCUGAGUCGAAGAGCCGGCCGCAGCGUCGGAAGGUCUUCCACGCACGCGACCUCGAUCCAGCGCUGCAGAACUUGGCGCCACGCGUGCACGCCGCCUCCCGUUGCUUCUUCGACACCGGAGAGCGGAGGCCAGAGCCGCCGGCCUCGUCGUCGUUCUGGCACUUGCGGGCGAAGAAGCCGCCGCGUGCAUCGACUCCACAGCAACACCUGAAGCCACCAGGAUUGCCGAACCCCCUUCCGCCGCCACGAGCCGCACCGGCGGAUGCCAUGGUAUCUUCGAUCCGGCGGAAAACAAGCUGCAAUAGGCCGUCGAAGCACGCUCGAUUUCUCGCCGGAGUACACGAAAUGCGGCGGAGAGGGAUAGAGGAAAUGGAGGGCGGGUACCCUAAAUCGUCCGGAAGCCGGCAUAUAUACCGGAUGGGGGGGCUUUUCAUGGGCCGAGACUUUUUUUGGGUAUCUGCUCGGGCCGAUUAUUUGGGUCAUCCCGUAUAACGGGCGGAAAAGCAUAGUUCGCCGGCCUUAUGCGGGAUCUGCUAGAGAUGCUCUAAUAACUUCUUCUUUUUUGCGAAUAAGAGAUGCUCUAAUAACUUAUAAUAUAGCUUUUUUUUACUGAGCUACGGCGAGCCCUCCAUUUAGUCUAUUUUUUUGACAGAAAAAGGAAAGAAACGGCGGUAAUAUAUGCACAUAUAACUACAAUUUUCCGUUAAUCCAAAAUAGUAAUGAUGAAAAUAUAAUUUCAUUUUGCCUGACCAUAUUUGUCUUCCUGUAGCUUAUAUGUGAUGAUUUUAAGAUAUUUAUACCCAUGAUAUCUUGUAGACUAGAUUUGUUGCGCAUGCCAACAUGCAAAUGUUAGUUUAAAAAAAACUAUGAGCCCUGAGUAAGUUCUUUUUUUACUAGUAUUCGAGAUAAAUUCCAAAUUGUUAUGUGUAUUUCCUUUUACAAUAGCAAAAGCCGGCAAUUAUACUCAUGUAAUCAUUGUUGUGACAUGUGGCAUUUCAACCCGAAAUUAUGCUCAAACCAAUAUAUUGCUCACCAUACAUACAUAAUUUAUACAAUACAAAUAGGUUUUGUCGCGGGUUAACUGAGGCUUUUGCUCAUGGCUGUUCAACUUUUGUUGCUCAAUAAUGUUGUGCCUAUACUUUCAAUCGGUUUGGCUCAAGGUUAUUGUCCCCGUGACGCUUUUGCUUCAGUGGCCGUUGUUGUGGUAAGCGAGUUUGGGUCGUGUUUUUGUAGGCCGGGCUUCAACUUUCGUAGUGUAAGAGUUUCGGUUCAAUUCCUUGUGAUGUUAGGUCAUUUAGGGUGCUAUGUCUAGUCGAACCUCUAUGGCGUUGUAUGGGUCAUGCCUUUUGCGGUGUUGUAGCAUCAUUCUUUCUUAAGGAAUUCAGGUGCAGUUAGAUCUUCCGCAUGGUUCUGAAAAUAAAAAUAAAAGAAUGGGCCAAUUGUUUUUUCAUUGUUAAACGAAAAGAAUAUGGCUUCUCUGCCUUUUAGUUACUACUAGUGGGCUGAUUGUUCUGAAUAUGGCUUCAUUUCCUUGAACUCCAAAAAAAUAGGUAAUUUUCCCUUUUAGCAAAGCACACAAAAAGGCAGGGUUACUUACCCUUUUUUGAAUGAAAAACACUUAAAAAUCCCAGCGGUUGACUGGUGUUUGUUAAUAAAAAGAAGAAAGGAGUAUGAAAGCAGGAAGGUUGGAGGGGAAAGCGAAGGAAGCGAGUGAUCGGUUUAUUCCUGUAGUUUCCUUCCCUACACACUCAUGCAAGCGGUUUUAUUCUUGCGGUGUCCCCAUCACGCUUGUGCUUCAGUCGAUGUUGUUGUCAUCGUUUCCAUGGUGAUCGAGUUUGGGUUGCGUUUGUCACGGUAGUCAUAUUUUUUCGUUGUUAGCCGAAAGAAUAUAGCUCGUUUGCCUUUUAAUUGCUAGCAAAGCACACAUAGAAAGGCAUGAUUGAUUACUUGGAAUGAGCAGGCUGGUUGUUUUUGUCUUGAAACCCCAGAAAAUGGCCCUUUUAGCAAAGCAGAAGAAAAGGCAGGGUUACUUACUUUAUUUGGGAAUGGAAAACUCUUAAAAAUCCCAGCAGUUGACUGGUGUUUGUUAAUGAAAAGAAUGGGCCAAUUGUCUUUUAAUUGUUACCGAAAGAAUAUAGGAAAAUGCUUAGUGUCAACCGGUGGAUUUUCUCUCACUCGUCCACCGUCUUCCACGGGCGACGCGUGUCCCAGUGGGUGUGCACCGCUUUGCAUCCUGCCUUAUCUUCUCGUCCGACUGCUCCCAUCCACAUCUUUUGUUUUCUUUUGCCUUCUUUCUUCCUUCCUCAGCGACCCAUUCUUCUCCAUUACGCACACAAUCAGGGACAUGCUCGGAGAUGUUGGAGACACCCACAGCCGAGAUUUUCUGAAGAGAUGCUGGAGGCACCGCCGCUUUCGUGUGCGGGUGUUCGAGGGUGGAUCUUCAAAGUUUUCUGCAACAUGGUAGUUGUUUCUGCAACGCAGCCAUUGUUUCAGGAAUUGUUUCUGCAACACGGCCGUUGCUUCAGAAUUGUUUCUGCAAUCUCCAAAUUUUUGCAACAUGGUAGUUGUUUCUGCAACACAGCCGUUAUUUCAGGAAUUGCUUCUGCAACGCGGCCGUUGUUUCAGGAAUUGUUUCUGCAACGCGGUCAUUAUUUCAGGAUUGUUUCUGCAAUGCGGACAUUGUUUCUGCAACUGGUUUAUUGUUUCAGGAAUUAGUGUGUCGGGACACCGAUGAGCCGCGUGCGAGUAACUUGAUCGGACGGCUCGCGCGCGAAGAUCCGACAGCUGUCGAGGUGGUGGAUGUUUACUAAACAUCUGCCGGUAGAUGCGUAGCGCUCCCCAAGAAUAUAGCUUCUUUGCCUUUUAAUUACUGCUAGGCACUAGCAAAGCACACAUAAAAAAAGGCAUGAUUGAUUUACCCAACAUACCAUAGUUCACCACGCAUAUCAUAGGAGAGUUUUUGCAAACCAUAAUAAUUAUACAUAGCAUAGGGGAUCUACUAGUCGCCGGAGCCGGGGGUGGUCGGGGGUCUACAUCACCGGGGUUCUACUCAUCCGAGUCAGAGUCAUCCGAGUCAAAGUCGAUGUCCUCAUCGUCCUCGUCGCCCUCAUCGUCGUCGUCGCUGGAGAUGACCUCGGCGGGCAGUGGCUUCUUUCCGUAAAGGGUGUCGGUGAUGAGGUCACUGUAGAUCCGGGUUUGGAGGUCGUACUCCUCCCAGAGCGCCGACAGCCGCGCAGCCGCAGCUGUAUCUCCAGCGUCGGCGGCAGUCCUCGCCUCAAACCAUGCCCGUCCGGCCGCCCGCUGGCGCUGGAGUGCCGGGUCGAAGAGCCGGCCGUAGCGCAGGAAGGUCUUCCACCCAUGCGACCUCGAUCCGGCGCUGCGGGACUUGGCGCAGCAAGUGCACGCCGCCUGUCGUUUCUUCUUUGACACCGGAGGGGGGACGCCAGAGCCACUGGCCUCGUCAUCGUUUUGGUGCUUGCGGGCGAAGAAGCCGCCGCGCGCGCCGCCUCCACCACGGCACCCUAAGCCACCACGAUUGCCGAACCCCCUUCCGCUGCCACGCCCCGCACCGGCGGACACCAUGGUAGCUUCGAUUCGGCGAAAAACAGGUCGCAAAAGGCUGCCGGAGCACACUCGAUUUCUCACCGGAGUACAUGAAAUGCGGCGGAGAGGGCUAGAGGAAACGGAGGGCGGAUACCCUAAAUCGACUGGAAGCCGGCAUAUAUAUCGGAUUGGGGGCGGUUUACGGGCCUCCCGUAAACUUUUUACGGGCCGGGACUUUUUUCGGGUAUCUGCUCGGGCCGAUUAUUUGGGUCGUCCCGUAUAACGGCCGGAAAAGCAUAUUUCGCGGGCCUUAUGCGGGAUCUGCUAGAUAUGCUCUAAUAACUAAUAAUAUACCUUUUGUUUACUGAGGUACGGCGAGCCCUCCAUUUAGGCCACUUUUUGGACAGAAAAAGAAAGAAACGGCCGUAAUAUAUGCACACAUAACUACAAUUUUCUGUUAAUCCAAAAUAGUAAUGAUGAAAAUAUUAUAAUUUCGUUUUGCCAGACCAUAUUUGUCUUCGUGUAGCCUACAUGUGAUGAUUUUACGAUACUUAUACCCAUGAUAUCCAGUAGACUAGAUUUGUUGCGCAUGCCAACAUGCAAAUGCUAGUUAAAAAAAAGACUAUGAACCCUGUGUAAAUUCAUUGCGUUCCUUUUUACUAGUAUUUGAGAUAAAUUCCAAAUUGUUAGGUGUAUUUUCCUUUUACACUAGUAAAAGCCGGCAAUUAUACUCAUGUAAUCAUUGUUGUGACCUGUGGCAUUUCAACCCAAAAUUAUGCUUAAACCAGUAUAUUGCUCAAUAAUGUUGUGCCCAUACUUUUAAUUGGUUUGGCUCAAGUUUAUUGUCCCCGUGACGCUUUUGCUUCGGCGGUCGUCGUUGUGGUAAGCAAGUUUGGGUCGUGUUGUUGUGGGUCGGGCUUCAACUUUCGUAGUGUAAGAGUUUCGGUUCCAUUCCUUUGUGAUGUUAGGUCAUUUAGGGUGCUCUGCCUCUACCUAGUAGUGCCUCUAUGAUGUUGCAUGGGUCAUGCCUUCUGGGCGUUGUAGCAUCAUUCUUUCUUUAGGAAUUCACGUGCAGCUAGAUCUUCCGCAUGGUUCUGAAAAUAAAAAGGAAAUAAUGGGCCAAUUGUUUUUCAUUGUUAAACGAAAGAAUAUGGCUUCUUUGCCUUUUAGUUACUACUAGUGGGCCAAUUGUUCUGAAUAUGGCUUAAAAUGGGUAAUUUUCCCUUUUAGCAAAGCACACAAAAAGGCAGGGUUAUUUACUUUUUUUUUGGAAUGAAAAACUCUUAAAAAUUCCAGCGGUUGAUUGGUGUUUGUUAAUAAAAAGAAGAAAGGAGUAUGAAAGUAGGAAGGUGGGAGGGGAAAGCGAAGGAAGCGAGUGAGCGGUUUAUUUUUGUAGUUCCCUUCCCUACACACUCAUGCAAGCGGUUUAUUCUUGCGGUGUCCUCAUGACGCUUGUGCUUCAGUCGAUGUUGUUGUCAUCGUUGUCACGGUGGUCGAGUUUGGGUUGCGUUUGUGACGGUACUCAUCUUUUUUCAUUGUUAAUGGAAAGAACAUGUCUCGUUUGCCUUUUAAUUGCUAGCAAAGCACACAUAGAAAAGGUAUGAUUGAUUACUUGGGAUGAGCAGGCUGGUUGUUUUUGUCUUGAACCCCAGAAAAUGGCCCUUUUAGCAAAGCACAAGAAAAGGCAGGGCUACUUACUUUUUUUGGAAAUGGAAAACUCUUAGAAAUUCCAGCAGUUGGUGUUUGUUAAUCAAAAUAAUAAAAGAAAGAAAAAAGAAGAACAAAGAAGUAUGAGAGCAGGAAGGUGGGAGGGGAAAGCGAGUGAGCGGUUUAUUCUUGCGGUUCCCUUUUCCACACGCUCAUGCAAACGGUUUAUUCUUGCAGUGUCCUCGGGACGCUUGUGCUUCGUUGAUGUUUUCGUCAUCGUAGUCAUGUUUGGGUUGCGUUUGUUGCGGAUUGGGUGCUGGGUUUCGCAUCCAUGCCUUGCGAUGUCAUGUUCUUUAGAGUUUUUCGGCGAGGCACGCCCCCGUGGCGUAAUAGUUUUACCCCUAUGAACGCACACACGCACACCCUACCCCCAUGAGCACCUCCUCGCCCCUGUGGCGUAAUAAUUUCACCCCUAUGAACGCACACACGCACACCCUAUCCCUAUGAGCACCUCCGGAAGACUGAGCCGGCAGGAACGUCUCCUCCCACUGAAUGCGCAUCGCCGGAAAUCCUGAAAUAAAUCCGGGAAUAAAUGUGAGCACCAGGAUUUGAACCCUGGUGGGCUGGGAUACCCCAGUCCCUCUAACCAUCCAACCACAGGUUGAUUCGCGAGUGAAAAAAGUCUUGAUUAUAUAAGAUUGAUAAUUCCAGCAGUUGACCGGUGUGUGUUUGUUUGUUAAUUAUAUUAGUAUAUAUAAAUAAAAGAAGAAAAAGGAGUAUGAAAGCAGUAAGGUGGAAGGGGAAAGCGAAGGAUGGGUUUAUUCUUCCAUUUGUGUUGUAGAAAGAAGUCGUCAUUUUCUUCUUGUUCCACUUCCGUUGCCUUGCCUCCUCCUUCUUUCUUUCUUGUCUAUCAUCAUCAGCAUCCAUCCAUCCACCAAAAUAAAUAAAUAUUCCACCUUUUUGUUUCCAGAUUACCAGAUGAUGAGUUGAUUCAUUCUCAAUAUCCACCAAAAAGGCGGGGUUACUUACUUUUAUGGAAUGGAAAACUCUUAAAAAUCCCAGCAGUUGACUGGUGUUUGUUAAUCAAAAGAAGAAAGGAGUAUAGCGAUCCCGCAUAUGACAAAAAUUUAAACGAAGUACUUCGCGCUAGAAACAUCUCGCCAGAGUUCAUCAACCCAACACACCAUAGUUUACCGCGCAUAGCACACGGGAGUUUUUACAAACCAUAAUAAUUAUACAUAGCAUAGGGGCACCGAAACAUAGCAUAGGAGAUCUACUAGUCGCCGGAGGGGGUGGGAAGGGGUCUACUUCACCGGGGUUCUACUCGUCCGAGUCAGAGUCGUCGCCCUCGUCAUUGUCGUCGCUGGAGAUGACCUCGGCGGGCAGCGGCUUCCCUCCAUGAAUGGUGUCGUAGAUGAGGUCGCAGUAGAUCCGGGUUUGGAGUCGGUGCUCAUCCCAGAGCGUCAGCAGCCGCACAGACGCAACCGCAUCUUCGGCAUCGGCGGCGGUCCUCGCCUCAAACCAUGCCCACUCGGCCUCCCACUGGCACUGGAUCGCCGAGUCGGAGAGCCGGCCGCAGCGCCGGAAGGUCUUCCACGCACGCGAGCUCGAUCCAGCGCUGUGGGACUUGGCGCCACGCGUGCACGCCGCCUCCCGUUGCUUCUUCGACACGGGAGAGCGGAGGCCAGAGCCGCCGGCCUCGUUGUCGUUCUGGCGCUUGCGGGCGAAGAAGCCGCCGCGCGCAUCGACUCCACAGCGACACCUGAAGCCACCGCGAUUGCCGAACCCCCUUCCGCCGCCACGCCCCGCACCGGCGGAUGCCAUGGUAGCUUCGAUCCGGCCGAAACAGGCUGCAAUAGGCCGUCGGAGCGCGCUCGAUUUCUCGCCGGAGUACACGAAAUGCGGCGGAGAGGGCUAGAGGAAAUGGAGGGCGGGUACCCUAAAUCGGCCGGAAGCCGGCAUAUAUACCGGAUGGGGGGGCUUUUCAUGGGCCGGGACUUUUUUUGGGUAUCUACUCAGGCCGAUUAUUUGGGUCGUCCCGUAUAAUGGGCGGAAAAGCGUAGUUCGCCGGCCUUAUGCGGGAUCUGCUAGAGAUGCUCUAAUAACUUUUCUUUUGCGAAUAAGAGAUGCUCUAAUAACUUUUAAUAUAGCUUUUGUUUACUGAGCUACUGCCAGCCCUCCAUUUAGGCUAUUUUUUUGACAGAAAAAGGAAAGAAACGGCGGUAAUGUAUGCACAUAUAACUACAAUUUUCUGUUAAUCCAAAAUAGUAACGAUGAAAAUAUAAUUUCAUUUUGCCUGACCAUAUUUGUCUUCGUGUAGCUUAUAUGUGAUGAUUUUAAGAUACUUAUACCCAUGAUAUCUAGUAGACUAGAUUUGUUGCGGAUGCCAACAUGCAAAUGUUAGUUUAAAAAAAACUAUGAGCCCUGAGUAAGUUCCAUUUUUUUACUAGUAUUUGAGAUAAAUUCCAAAUUGUUAUGUGUAUUUCCUUUUACACUAGCAAAAGCCGGCAAUUAUACUCAUGUAAUCAUUGUUGUGACAUGUGGCAUUUCAACCCAAAAUUAUGCUCAAACCAAUAUAUUGCUCACCAUACAUACAUAAUUUAUACAAUACAAAUAGGUUUUGUCGCGGGUUAACCGAGGCUUUUGCUCAUGGCUGUUCAACUUUUGUUGCUCAAUAAUGUUGUGCCUAUACUUUCAAUCGGUUUGGCUCAAGGUUAUUGUCUCCGUGACGCUUUUGCUUCAGUGGUCAUUGUUGUGGUAAGCGAGUUUGGGUCGUGCUGUUGUGGGCCGGGCUUCAACUUUCGUAGUGUAAGAGUUUUCGGUUCCAUUCCUUGUGAUGUUAGGUCAUUUAGGGUGCUAUGUCUAGUCGAACCUCUAUGGCGUUGUAUGGGUCAUGCCUUUUGCGGUGUUGUAGCAUCGUUCUUUCUUUAGGAAUUCAGGUGCAGCUAGAUCUUCCCCAUGGUUCUGAAAAGAAACAAAAGAAAAAAAUGGGGCAAUUUCUUUUUCAUUGUUAACCGAAAGAAUAUGGCUCCUUUUGCCAUUUAAUUACUACUAGCAAAGCACACAUAGAAAGGCAGGAUUGAUUACUUGGAAUGAGCAAGAUGGUUGUUUUUGUCUUGAACCCCAGAAAAUGGCCCUUUUAGCAAAGGAGAAGAAAAGGCAGGGUUAAUUACUUUUUUUCCAGAAUGGAAAACUCAGAUUCCAGCAGUUGACUGGUGUUUGUUAAUCAAAAGAAGAAAAGAAAAGAAGAAAGAAGUAUGAAAGUAGGAAGGUGGGAGGGGGAAAGCGAAGGGAGCGAGUGAGCGGUUUAUUCUUGCGGUUCCCAUUCCCACACGCCCAUGCAAGCGGUUUAUUCUUGCAGUGUCCCCGCGACGCUUGUGCUUCUGUCGAUGUUGUCAUCAUCGUUGGUCAUGGUAGUCAAGUUUGGAUUGCGUUUGUUGCGGACCAGGUGACGGGUUUCGCAUCCAUGCCUUGCGAUGUCAAAAAAAAAUAAGACCAACCCAAGGGCUAACCCUUGUUGGCAUUCUUUUAUAGAAGAAACUCCGUGAGCACGGCAUGUCAAAGCCAGGGCUUCAACUUGGGUGGGCUGGCAGCUACCCCAGCCGUCCAGCCAACGGGUCGACGCCCCAUCCUCAUGCCUUGCGAUGUCAUGCCGGUGUUUGUUUGUUUGUUAAUUAAUAAAUACUGGUACAGAAGAAGAAAAAGGAGUAUGAAAGCAGUAAGGUGGGAGGGGAAAGGGAAGGGAGCUACCACUGGGUUGGGUUUAUUCUCCCAUUUCAGUUAGACGAGUCAUUUUCUUCUUCUUCUUCUUGUGCUUCCACUUCCCUUGCCUACACGCACGCUCCUCCUCCUUCAUUCUGUUUUUUCACUUGCUUCUUUCUUUCUUUCUUUCUUUCUUGUGCCGACACAACAAAGAGAUCAUGAGAGAGCACCCAUAUUUAUCAUCAGCAUCAGCAUCCAUCCAUCCACCAAAAUAAAUAAAAAUAAAUAUUCCACCUUUCUUCCCCUUUCCUUUUUGUCUUGAGAUUACCUGAUCAUGAGUUGACCCAUUCAUUCUCAGUGCAUACUCUCUAAAAUCUACUCGUAGAUCACCUCACUCUACCUAAUAUCUUUAGCUUACCAAUCCUCCUCUUUACAUAGCGUAGCGUAGGUAGGGGAAAGAAAGGAGUGUGCGUCUGUAAAUACUCCCUCCGUCCCAAAAUUCUUGUCUUACAUUUGUCUAAAUACGGAUGUAUCAAGUCACGUUUUAGUAUUAGAUACAUUCAUAUCUAGAUAAAUUUCAGCCAAGAAUUUUGGGACGGAGGGAGUACUAAAGCAGCAGUCAACACUCAGCAGCAAAAAAAUGUUAGGUCAUUUAGGAUGCUAUGUCUAGUCGAACCUCUAUGGCGUUGUAUGGGUCAUGCCUUGUCGGCGUUGUAGCAUCAUUCUUUCUUAACGAAUUCAGGUAGAUCUUCCGCAUGGUUCUGAAAACAAAAAGGAAAAGAAUGGGCCAAUUGUCUUUUCAUUGUUAACCGAAAGAAUAUGGCUUCUUUGCCUUUUAAUUACUACUAGGCACUAGCAAAGCACACAUAAAAAAAGGCAUGGUUGAUUUACUUAGAAUGAGCAGGCUGGUCAUUUACCCUUUUAGCAAAGCACACAAAAAGGCAGGGUUACUUACCUUUAUGGGAUGGAAAACUCUUGAAAAUUCCAGCUGCUGACUGGUGUUUGUUAAUCAAAAGAAGAAAGGAGUAUAGCGAUCCCACAUAUGACAGAAAUUUUAAACAGAGUACUUUGCACUAAAAACAUCUCGCCGGAGUUCAUCAACCCAACAUACCAUAGUUCACCACGCAUAGCAUAGGAGAGUUUUUACAAACCAUAAUAAUUAUACAUAGCAUAGGGGAAUCGAAACAUAGCAUAGGGGAUCUACUAGUAGCCGGAGCCGGGGGUGGGCGGGGGUCUACUUCACUGAGGUUCUACUCAUCUGAGUCAGAGUUAUCCGAGUCAGAGUCGUCACCCUCAUCAUCACCGUCACCCUCAUCGUCGUCGUCGCUGGAGAUGACCUCGGCGAGCAGCGGCUUCCCUCCGGAAAGGGUGUCGGUGAUGAGGUCACCGUAGAUCCGGGUUUGGAGGUCGUACUCCUCCCAGAGCGCUGGCAGUCGCGCAGCCGCAGCCGCAUCUCCAACGUCGGCGGCGAUCCACGCCUCAAACCACGCCUGCUGGGCCGCGGACUUGCGCUGGAGUGCCGGGUUGAAGAGCCGGCCGCAGCGCAGGAAGAUCUUCCACCCAUGUGACCUCGAUCCGGCGCUGCGGGACUUGGCGCAGCAAGUGCACACCGCCUCCCGUUUCUUCUUCGACACCGGAGGGCGGAGGCCAGAGCCGCCGGCCUUGUCGUCAUUUUGGCGCUUGCUGGCGAAGAAGCCGCCGCGCGCGCCGCCUCCACCACGGCACCCGAAGCCACCGCGGUCGCCAAACCCCCUUCCGCCGCCACGCCCCGCACCAGCAGAUGCCAUGGUAGCUUAGAUCUGGCGGAAAACAAGCCGCAAAAGGCUGCCGGAGCACGCUCGAUUUCUCGCCGAAGUACACGAAAUGCGGCGGAGAGGGCUAGAGGGAAUGGAGGGCGGAUACCCUAAAUCGACUGGAAGCCGGCAUAUAUACCAGAUUAGGGGCGGUUUACGGGCCUCCCGUAAACUUUUUACGGGCCGGGACUUUUUUCGGGUAUAAGCUCGGGGCGAUUAUUUGGGUCGUCCCGAUUAUUUCGGGUAUCUGCUCGGGCCGAUUAUUUGGGUCGUCCCGUAGUUCGCGGGCCUUAUGCGGGAUCUGCUAGAUAUGCUCUAAUAACUAAUAAUAUAGCUUUUGUUUACUGAGGUACGGCGAGCCCUCCAUUUAGGCCACUUUUUGGACAGAAAAAGAAAGAAACGGCCGUAAUAUAUGCACACAUAACUACAAUUUUCUGUUAAUCCAAAAUAGUAAUGAUGAAAUAUUAUAAUUUCGUUUUGCCAGACCAUAUUUGUCUUCGUGUAGCCUACAUGUGAUGAUUUUACGAUACUUAUACCCAUGAUAUCCAGUAGACUAGAUUUGUUGCGCAUGCCAACAUGCAAAUGCUAGUUAAAAAAAAACUAUGAACCCUGUGUAAAUUCAUUGCGUUCCUUUUUACUAGUAUUUGAGAUAAAUUCCAAAUUGUUAGGUGUAUUUUCCUUUUACACUAGUAAAAGCCGGCAAUUAUACUCAUGUAAUCAUUGUUGUGACCUGUGGCAUUUCAACCCAAAAUUAUGCUUAAACCAGUAUAUUGCUCAAUAAUGUUGUGCCCAUACUUUUAAUUGGUUUGGCUCAAGUUUAUUGUCCCCGUGACGCUUUUGCUUCGGCGGUCGUCGUUGUGGUAAGCAAGUUUGGGUCGUGUUGUUGUGGGUCGGGCUUCAACUUUCGUAGUGUAAGAGUUUCGGUUCCAUUCCUUUGUGAUGUUAGGUCAUUUAGGGUGCUCUGCCUCUACCUAGUAGUGCCUCUAUGAUGUUGCAUGGGUCAUGCCUUCUGGGCGUUGUAGCAUCAUUCUUUAUUUAGGAAUUCACGUGCAGCUAGAUCUUCCGCAUGGUUCUGAAAGUAAAAAGGAAAUAAUGGGCCAAUUGUUUUUCAUUGUUAAACGAAAGAAUAUGGCUUCUUUGCCUUUUAGUUACUACUAGUGGGCCAAUUGUUCUGAAUAUGGCUUAAAAUGGGUAAUUUUCCCUUUUAGCAAAGCACACAAAAAGGCAGGGUUAUUUACUUUUUUUUUGGAAUGAAAAACUCUUAAAAAUUCCAGCGGUUGACUGGUGUUUGUUAAUAAAAAGAAGAAAGGAGUAUGAAAGUAGGAAGGUGGGAGGGGAAAGCGAAGGAAGCGAGUGAGCGGUUUAUUUUUGUAGUUCCCUUCCCUACACACUCAUGCAAGCGGUUUAUUCUUGCGGUGUCCUCAUGACGCUUGUGCUUCAGUCGAUGUUGUUGUCAUCGUUGUCACGGUGGUCGAGUUUGGGUUGCGUUUGUGACGGUACUCAUCUUUUUUCAUUGUUAAUGGAAAGAAUAUGUCUCGUUUGCCUUUUAAUUGCUAGCAAAGCACACAUAGAAAAGGUAUGAUUGAUUACUUGGGAUGAGCAGGCUGGUUGUUUUUGUCUUGAACCCCAGAAAAUGGCCCUUUUAGCAAAGCACAAGAAAAGGCAGGGUUACUUUUUUUGGAAAUGGAAAACUCUUAGAAAUUCCAGCAGUUGGUGUUUGUUAAUCAAAAGAAUAAAAGAAAGAAAAAAGAAGAACAAAGAAGUAUGAGAGCAGGAAGGUGGGAGGGGAAAGCGAGUGAGCGGUUUAUUCUUGCGGUUCCCUUUUCCACACGCUCAUGCAAACGGUUUAAUCUUGCAGUGUCCUUGGGACGCUUGUGCUUCGUUGAUGUUGUCGUCAUCGUAGUCAUGUUUGGGUUGCGUUUGUUGCGGAUUGGGUGCUGGGUUUCGCAUCCAUGCCUUGCGAUGUCAUGUUCUUUAGAGUUUUUCGGCGAGGCACGCCCCCGUGGCGUAAUAGUUUUACCCCUAUGAAUGCACACACGCACACCCUACCCCUAUGAGCACCUCCUCGCCCCUGUGGCGUAAUAAUUUCACCCCUAUGAACGCACACACGCACACCCUACCCCUAUGAGCACCUCCGAAAGACUGAGCCGGCAGGAACGUCUCCUCCCACUGAAUGCGCAUCGCCGGAAAUCCUGAAAUAAAUCCGGGAAUAAAUGCGAGCACCAGGAUUUGAACUCUGGUGGGCUGGGGAUACCACAGUCCCUCUAACCAUCCAACCACAGGUUGAUUCGCGAGUGAAAAAUGUCUUGAUUAUAUAAGAUUGAUAAUGUCAGCAGUUGCCGGUGUUUGUUUGUUUGUUAACUAUAUUAGUAUAUAUAAAUAAAAGAAGAAAAAGGAGUAUGAAAGCAGUAAGGUGGAAGGGGAAAGCGAAGGAUGGGUUUAUUCUUCCAUUUGUGUUGUAGAAAGAAGUCGUCAUUUUCUUCUUGUUCCACUUCCGUUGCCUUAGCCUCCUUCUUCUUUCUUUCUUGUCUAUCAUCAUCAGCAUGCAUCCAUCCACCAAAAUAAAUAAAUAUUCCACCUUUUUGUUUCCAGAUUACCAGAUGAUGAGUUGAUUCAUUCUCACUAUCCACUCUAAAUCUACUCGAGCUCACCUCAUCCAUCCACCAAAAAGGCGGGGUUACUUACUUUUAUGGAAUGGAAAACUCUUAAAAAUUCCAGCAAUUGACUGGUGUUUGUUAAUCAAAAGAAGAAAGGAGUAUAGUGAUCCCGCAUAUGACAAAAAUUUAAACAAAGUACUUCGCGCUAGGAACAUCUCGCCAGAGUUCAUCAACCCAACAUACCAUAGUUCACCACGCAUAGCAUACGGGAGUUUUUACAAACCAUAAUAAUUAUACAUAGCAUAGGGGCACCGAAACAUAGUCGCUGGAGGGGGUGGGCAGGGGUCUACUUCACCGGGGUUCUACUCGUCAGAGUCAGAGUCGUCGCCCUCGUCAUUGUCGUCGCCCUCGUCAUUGUCGUCGCUGGAGAUGACCUCGGCGGGCAGCGGCUUCCCUUCAUGAAUGGUGUCGUAGAUGAGGUCGCAGUAGAUCCGGGUUUGGAGUUGGUACUCAUCCCAGAGCGUCAGCAGCCGCACAGCCGCAACCGCAUCUUCGGCAUCGGCGGUGGUCCUCGCCUCAAACCAUGCCCACUCGGCCUCCCACUGGCACUGGAUCGCCGAGUCGGAGAGCCGGCCGCAGCACCGGAAGGUCUUCCACGCACGCGAGCUCGAUCUAGCGCUGCGGGACUUGGCGCCACGCGUGCACGCCGCCUCCCGUUGCUUCUUCGACACGGGAGAGCGGAGGCCAGAGCCGCCGGCCUCAUUGUCGUUCUGGCGCUUGCGGGCGAAGAAGCCGCCGCGCGCAUCGACUCCACAGCGACACCUGAAGCCACCGCGAUUGCCGAACCCCCUUCCGCUGCCACGCCCUGCACCGGCGGAUGCCAUGGUAGCUUCGAUCCGGCGGAAACAGGCUGCAAUAGGUUGUUGGAGCGCGCUCGAUUUCUCGCCGGAGUACACGAAAUGCGGCGGAGAGGGCUAGAGGAAAUGGAGGGCGGGUACCCUAAAUCGGCCGGAAGCCGACAUAUAUACCGGAUGGGGGGGCUUUUCAUGGGCCGGGACUUUUUUUGGGUAUCUGCUCGGGCCGAUUAUUUGGGUCGCCCCGUAUAACGGGCGGAAAAGCGUAGUUCGCCCGCCUUAUGCGGGAUCUGCUAGAGAUGCUCCAAUAACUUUUCUUUUGCGAAUAAGAGAUGCUCUAAUAAUUUUAAUAUAGAUUUUUUUUACUGAGCUACUGCCAGCCCUCCAUUUAGGCUAUUUUUUUGACAGAAAAAGGAAAGAAACGGCGGUAAUAUAUGCACAUAUAACUACAAUUUUCUGUUAAUCCAAAAUAGUAAUGAUGAAAAUAUAAUUUCAUUUUGCCAGACCAUAUUUGUCUUCGUGUAGUUUAUAUGUGAUGAUUUUAAGAUACUUAUACCCAUGAUAUCUAGUAGAGUAAAUUUGUUGCGCAUGCCAACAUGCAAAUGUUAGUUUAAAAAAAAACUAUGAGCCCGGAGUAAGUUCCAAUUUUUUUACUAGUAUUUGAGAUAAAUUCCAAAUUGUUAUGUGUAUUUCCUUUUACACUAGCAAAAGCUGGCAAUUAUACUCAUGUAAUCAUUGUUGUGACAUAUGGCAUUUCAACCCAAAAUUAUGCUCAAACCAAUAUAUUGCUCACCAUACAUACAGAAUUUAUACAAUACAAAUAGGUUUUGUCGCGGGUUAACCGAGGCUUUUGCUCAUGGCUGUUCAACUUUUGUUGCUCAAUAAUGUUGUGCCUAUACUUUCAAUCGGUUUGGCUCAAGGUUAUUGUCCCCGUGACGCUUUUGCUUCAGUGGCCGUUGUUAUGGUAAGCGAGUUUGGGUUGUGUUUUUGUAGGCCGGGCUUCAACUUUCGUAGUGUAAGAGGUUCGGUUCCAUUCCUUGUGAUGUUAGGUCAUUUAGGGUGCUCUGUCUAGUCGAACCUCUAUGGCGUUGUAUGGGUCAUGCCUUUUGCGGUGUUGUAGCAUCGUUCUUUCUUAAGGAAUUCAGGUGCAGCUAGAUCUUCCGCAUGGUUCUGAAAAUAAAAAUAAAAGAAUGGGCCAAUUGUUUUUUCAUUGUUAAACGAAAGAAUAUGGCUUCUCUGCCUUUUAGUUACUACUAGUGGGCUGAUUGUUCUGAAUAUGGCUUCUUUUCCUUGAACUCCAAAAAAAUGGGUAAUUUUCCCUUUUAGCAAAGCACACAAAAAGGCAGGGUUACUUACCCUUUAUUUUGAAUGAAAAACACUUAAAAAUCCCUGCGGUUGACUGGUGUUUUGUUAAUAAAAAGAAGAAGGGAGUAUGAAAGCAGGAAGGUUGGAGGGGAAAGCGAAGGAAGCGAGUGAUCGGUUUAUUCCUGUAGUUCCCUUCCCUACACACUCAUGCAAGCGGUUUUAUUCUUGCGGUGUCCCCAUCACGCUUGUGCUUCGGUCGAUGUUGUUGUCAUUGUUUCCACGGUGAUCGAGUUUGGGUUGCGUUUGUCACGGUAGUCAUAUUUUUUUCGUUGUUAGCCGAAAGAAUAUAGGUCGUUUGCCUCUUAAUUGCUAGCAAAGCACACAUAGAAAGGCAUGAUUGAUUUCUUGGAAUGAGCAGGCUGGUUGUUUUUGUCUUGAAACCCCAGAAAAUGGCCCUUUUAGCAAAGCAGAAGAAAAGACAGGGUUACUUACUUUAUUUGGAAAUGGAAAGCUCUUAAAAAUCCCAGCAGUUGACUGGUGUUUGUUAAUCAGAAGAAGAUAGGAAGAAAGGAGUAUGGAGCCGGGAAGGUGGGUGGGGAAAGCGAAGGGAGCGGUUUAUUCUUGCAGUCCCCUUUCCCACAUGCUCAUGCAAGCGGUUUAUCCUUGUAGUGUCCCCGCGACGCUUGUGCUUCGAUCGAUGUUGUCGUCAUGGUAGUCAAGUUUGGAUUGCGUUUGUUGCGGACUAGGUGCUGGGUUUCGCAUCCAUGCCUUGCGAUGUCAUGCCGUUUAGAGUUAAAAAUUUACAAGUGAUUCGAGAAAAAGUAUAGAAGAAGAAAAAGGAGUAUGAAAAUAGUAAGGUGGAAGGGGAAAGCGAAGGGAGAUACCACCAUUGGGUUAUUCUCACAUUUCUUGACCGGUCAUUUUCCUCUUCUUGUUAUGCUUCCACUUGCCUUGCCUACACGCACGCUCCUUCUCCUUCGUUCUUUCUUUCUUGUGCCGACACGGAGUAUUUAACAAAAAACUACCACAUUUAGUGGAACCGUGCCUACAAACUACCAUUUUACAAAUUUGUGUCGAAAACUACCACUUUUUGUCUAAUCUUUGUCUAAAAACUACCAUGUCGGGAAAGUGCCCGAUUCGCCUCUUCUAAACACCUUUCUAACAGGAUGGGCCCACCUGUCAGCAUCAAUCUUCUUCCUCCUCUCUCUCUCUUUGGCAUUUCCUCGAACACCACACGUGCAAUGUUAUGUUGUGUUGUUUGUGGUCUGGUCUUUGUGCUUGUGCAUUAUGGGUCAGUCAAAGAAGAGACAAGCAUGCAAUGGUGGAUGUCUGUUGUUGCAGUGGUUGCAUUGUUGUGUUGUCCUGCUGUCUUGCUAGCUGGUAAUAAUUGUAAUGUGUUGUGCUUGUGAUUGGGCCACCCACAUCAUCCACAUCAUCUUGAUUUAUCUUGUUGGAUGUGGAUAAUAUAAAGUGACAACAAGAUGACCCAUAAUGCCGCGGUGGGCGGUACCACGGUGUUUUGUGCAAUACACCAAAAAAAUCACAGAGCUACGCGAGCCCUCCAUUUAGGCCUUUUUGACCAAAAAAGAGAGAGAAUGAAACGGCGUUAAUAUAUGCACAUAUAACUAUAAUUUUCUGUAAACCCAAAAUAGUAAUGUUGAGAUAUAAUUUCAUUUUGCCAGACCAUAUUUGUCUUUGUGUGGCCUACAUGUGUUUUUUUAAAAAAAAACAAUAAACCCACCAACUCUGCCUGCGCUGCAACUCUAGUUUGUAAAGAUCCAAUAUAAUAUUAUAUGCAUCUUUAUAGUGUUAUGGGUUUGGUUUGUAGGAAAUAUUUUUCCCCUUUGUUUUCUAUACUACAUUUUCCAAUACAUUCCUUGUAAUGUUAAGUCAUUUAGUUCCUCGAAAAAAAUGUAGGUCACUUAGGGUGGUAUGCCUAGUCGAACCUCUAUAGCGUUGUACGGGUCAUGCCUUGUCGGCGUUGUAGCAUCAUUCUUUAUUAACGAAUUCAGGUAGAUCUUCCGCAUGGUUCUAAAAACAAAAAGAAAAGAAUGGGCCAAUUGUCUUUUCAUUGUUAACCGUGUUAAACAACGUUGCUUACAUACAUGUCACGAUCCCAAUCCAACCAGGAGGUGUUCGGCUUUGGUUAGGUUUAGAGAUAUAUUUGGCUAGUAGUUUAAACACAUCACAAUUGUAACUACUUCUAUCUCUCCUCUCCAAGUAAUCUCUCUCGAUCUGUACCAAUCUCCUAAUUCUCUGUAUCGAUCGUGGGGUCGCGUCCCCUCCUUAUAACGUGAACCACGUCCCUCGAGAGAGGUAAGAUGUUUUCCGCUAUCGCACAUGGUAGUCAGAGCCUUCCUUUUCCCAUCCGAAGCUUCUGUCGAAUCCAUCUAAGCCUAGCCAUGUCUUCCUUCUCUGCCUCCGGUGCCUUCUCCUCAAACCUCAAUAGCCAGGUCACGGAGAAGUUGUCCCGCACGAACUACGUGCUAUGGCGAACGCAGAUCACCCCCCAACUGCGUGGCGCCGGCGUCUACGGCUACGUCGACGGCACCACACCGGAGCCGGCGAAGUUCCUCAUCACCACCAAAGAAGGCAAUGAGACUUCAUCACCCAACCCUCUCCACCCUCUCUGGGUCCGGGAGGACCAGCAGGUCCUUGGCUUCCUGCUGGCCAACCUCACAAAGGAGGUUCUGGUGACGGUGACCACGGCCACCACGGCGAGCGCGCUCUGGACGACGCUCGCUGCCAUGUUCUCGUCGCACUCAGCGAGCCGCAUCAACAACAUCCGCACCUCCCUCAUCAACACGCAUAAGGGUAAUCCCUCGGUUGCCUCUUACUUUUCUGCUAUGCGAGGAUAUGCAGAUGAACUAGCCGCGGCAGGCAAGGCCAUCCAGGAUGACGAACUAGUCUCCUACAUCAUCCACAGACUCGACGCCGAUUACCAGCCUCUGGUGUCUGCUCUCGACGCUCGAGUCACCCCCGUCACACUCGAUGAACUCUACACCAUGCUCUCAAACUUCGACCAGCGUGUGGCUCAUUACCACGGGUCUGGCGGCAGCGGCUUCAAAUCUUCAGCCAACAUGGCGUCCCGUGGGCGGGGUGGCGGCUCCCGUUCACGUGGCCCUCCUCGCAAAGGGCAAUCUGGUGGCGGCGGCGGUAGUGACCGCGGCUUCUCUCCUCAGCGCACCGGCGGCAGGGGCCGCAGCCGUCGCGGUCGUGGCAGCGACAGGAUGCGCCCCGACACUCCAAGAUGCCAGAUCUGUGGGAAACCUGGACACACAGCAAAAGAUUGCUGGUACAGGUAUGAGGAUGAUGAUGAUUCCCAAGAUGAUGACAAAGUCGCUGCGGCGGCUGAUGGGUCCUACGGUGUUGACACCAAUUGGUACGUUGACAGUGGGGCCACAAACCACAUCACCAAUGAACUCGAGAAGGUGACCAUGAAGGAAAAAUAUCGCGGCAAGGAUCAAAUCCACACUGCUAGCGGAGAAGGUAUGAGUAUAUGUCAUGUUGGUCACUCAAUAUUUCGUACCCCUAGACGUAAACUACAUCUUAGGAAAAUUUUGCAUGUCCCUAGUGCACACAAAAAUCUUCUUUCUGUUCAUCGAAUUGCCAUCGAUAAUCAUGUUUUUCUCGAGUUUCGCCCUUAUUUCUUUUUGAUCAAGGAUCAGGCAACGAGGGAAAUACUCUAUCGAGGUAGAUGUGUUCGAGGGCUCUAUCCGUUGAUUCCAGAGUUUAGAAGAUUCAAUAAACAAGCUUGUGGUGCUAUCAAGCUUACGUCCACACGAUGGCACGAUCAUUUAGGACAUGCCUCUUUUUCUUUAGUUGAAAAGUUACUUAGGAAAAAUAAGCUCCCGUUUGUUGGUGGGCGUCAUGUUGAAACAAUUUGUGAUUCAUGUCAACGAGCUAAAAGUCAUCAAUUACCAUACCCCGUUUCUACUAGUAUUUCUACCAAACCUCUCCAACUUAUUUUUUCUGAUGUUUGGGGUCCAGCCCCACACUCUGUUGGUAGACAUACGUAUUACGUCAGUUUCAUUGAUGACUACAGUAAAUUCUCUUGGAUCUAUCUUCUCAAACGAAGAUCAGAUGUGUUUCAAGUUUUUCAAAACUUCCAAGCUCUUGUUGAAUGCAAGUUNNNNNNNNNNNNNNNNNNNNNNNNNNNNNNNNNNNNNNNNNNNNNNNNNNNNNNNNNNNNNNNNNNNNNNNNNNNNNNNNNNNNNNNNNNNNNNNNNNNNNNNNNNNNNNNNNNNNNNNNNNNNNNNNNNNNNNNNNNNNNNNNNNNNNNNNNNNNNNNNNNNNNNNNNNNNNNNNNNNNNNNNNNNNNNNNNNNNNNNNNNNNNNNNNNNNNNNNNNNNNNNNNNNNNNNNNNNNNNNNNNNNNNNNNNNNNNCUCCUUCUUCCAGAACCUUGGUAUUUCUCACCAAGUAUCAUGCCCACAUGCUCACCAACAAAAUGGCUCAUUUGAGCGCAAACAUAGACAUAUCAUAGAGGUAGGCCUUGCUCUUUUGGCAGGAGCCUCCAUGCCUCUCAAGUUUUGGGAUGAAGCAUUCCUCACUGCCGUUCACAUUAUCAACAUGCUACACAGUCGUGUUAUUAAUAAUGAAACUCCGGUAGAACGCCUCCUUCACAGAAAACCAGACUACAAAUCUCUUCGAGUCUUUGGGUGUGCAUGUUGGCCAAACCUCCGUCCCUACAACAAUUGCAAACUCAUGUUUCGCUCAAAACAGUGUGUCUUCCUAGGAUACAGCGCCCAUCAUAAAGGUGUCAAAUGUCUAGAUGUCUCCACUGGUCGGGUUUACAUCUCACGUGACGUCGUAUUCGAUGAAACCAAGUUCCCAUUUGCUGAUCUUCACCCCAAUGCUGGCGCCCUUCUUCACAAAGAAAUCCUUCUUCUGCCUUCACAUCUCACUAGUUUUGAUCAAGGGGGGCAAGAUAUCGAUGAUCAACUAUUGACUAACUCAUCUAAUGAUCUGCAUGAGUCUUGUGUUGAUGAUACAGGAGAAAUCCAUGAAGAGAUCGUUGUUGAAAAAAAUUCAGAUGGACCAUAUUUUAUGUGUCCCACAAGCGGAGACAGAUCCUCCUCGGGAUCCAUCCAGGAGUAGCGAAUCAGAUUCGCUUUGGGAUCGCAGCCUGACGUGACAGACGCAGGCGACCGCGUGGUCUUCCCUGAUUCCCGCAGCACCGGUCCCAUGGGCGACACGCGGGCUGCGCCCGCUGGCUGCGCUGGCUUCCCCGCUCCGCGCUAAUCGCCGCCCCCCACUUGGCCGGCUCCGGGUGGCCCAGAAGCUGCGCGCCGCCCCACCCAACCGGUGACCUACAAACGGCGCACGAGCACGCGGUCCAGGGAGGGCGCGGGCCCUGGCGCGGGUCUCGGUGCAGGUCCGACCGCCCCUGGCGCGGAAAAACUGGCGCAGCUGGCGCGGAAACUUGCGUGGGCCCUGGCGCGGGUCCGACCGGCACGGAAAUCCGAGCAGAUACGGAAGCUCCGGGAUUCUUUGUGGCUGCCUCAGGCGCCUCGCCUCGCGUUUCAGCUACAGAAGAUCCGGUGUUGGGUGGCGCUGCUACUGCUGCCGAAUCCUUUUUGGGUUCUGGUCCAGCCAAUGAUUUGGAAACCAUGGGAUCCUCUAUGGCAGCAGAUGUGAGUACUCAGCAGCCACGUCGUACACGCCUUCAACAAGGAAAAAUUCAACCUGUCAACUACAAGCAUAUAUCCAAGUAUGGUAUGGUUUGUUCCACAGGUGAACCAGAUGAACCUAACACCCUUGAAGCAGCACUGUGUGAUGAUAGGUGGAAGAAAGCCAUGAAUGAAGAGUAUAUGGCAUUGAAGAAAAACAAAACAUGGCAUUUGGUUCCCCCACAGCAAGGUAAAAAUUUAAUUGAUUGCAAGUGGGUUUUCAGGAUCAAAAGAAAAGCUGAUGGAACUGUUGAUCGUUAUAAGGCUAGGCUAGUAGCAAAAGGUUUUAAACAGAGAUAUGUCAUAGACUAUGAGGACACGUUUAGUCCGGUGGUAAAGGCUUCCACCAUUCGUCUUGUCCUAUCCAUUGCUGUUUCCAGAGGAUGGAGUCUCAGACAGCUUGAUGUUCAGAACGCGUUUCUCCAUGGUGUUCUGGAAGAGGAAGUGUACAUGAAACAACCUCCUGGGUUUGAGAGUAAGAAUGCUCCUUCAUAUGUAUGCAAGCUUGAUAAGGCACUAUAUGGGUUGAAACAGGUUCCAAGGGCAUGGUAUGCUCGUCUCUAUCACAAAAUGCAAGCACUUGGUUUUGUUCCCUCUAAAUCUGACACAUCAUUGUUCAUCUACAACAAGUCCAACACAUGCAUAUUUGUUCUCAUAUAUGUUGAUAAUAUUAUUGUAACCAUCUCAUCUGAUGAAGCUAUCAGAGGACUUCUUAAAGAUCUAAGUGCAGAAUUUGCUCUAAAGGAUCUUGGUGACUUGCACUAUUUUCUUGGGAUUGAGGUGAAGAAGCACAAAGAUGGACUUCUGCUCUCUCAGGAAAAAUAUGCCACUGAUUUGGUUAAGAAGGCUGGGCUACAGGGAUGCAAGCCUUCUCCCACUGGUGGCUUUGCAGUAUUCUUUGGACCAAAUUUGAUAUUCUGGUGUGCACGAAAACAGGCCACUGUAUCCAGGUCCAGUACAGAGGCAUAAUACAAGGCAUUGGCAAAUGCUACAACUGAAAUAAUAUGGGUUCAGUCUAUGUUGAAGGAACUUGGUGUACAAAGUAAACAAGCUCCCUGCUUAUGGUGUGACAAUCUUGGUGCUACAUAUCUCUCUGCAAAUCCGGUGUUUCAUGCCAGGACAAAGCACAUAGAGAUUGAUUUUCACUUUGUCAGAGAAAGAGUUGCUCAGAAACAACUUGACAUUCGCUUGUGCAUUCCAAAGAUCAACUUGCAGAUGGAUUCACAAAGCCCUUGCCCACAAGAAGCUUUGAAGACUUCAAGCAUAAUCUCAACUUAAUGAAGUUGUGAUUAAGGGAGGGUGUUAAACAACGUUGCCUACAUACAUGUCAUGAUCCCAAUCCAACCAGGAGGUGUUCGGCUUUGUUUAGGUUUAGAGAUAGAUUUGGCUAGUAGUUUAAACACAUCACAAUUGUAACUACUUCUAUCUCUCCUCUCCAAGUAAUCUCUCUCGAUCUGUACCGAUCUCCUGAUUCUCUGUAUCGAUCGUGGGGUCGCGUCCCCUCCUUAUAACGUGAACCACGUCCCUCGAGAGAGGUAAGACGUUUUCCUCUAUCGCACAAACCGAAAGAAUAUGGCUUCUUUGCCUUUUAAUUACUACUAGGCAGUAGCAAAGCACAUAUAAAAAAGGCAUGGUUGAUUUACUUGGAAUGAGCAGGCUGGUUGUUUUUUCCUUGAACCCCCAAAAAUGGGUAAUUUACCCUUUUAGCAAAGCACACAAAAAGGCAGGGUUACUUACUUUUAUGGGAUGUAAAACUCUUAAAAAUUCCAGUUGUUGACUGGUGUUUGUUAAUCAAAAGAAGAAAGGAGCAUAGCGAUCCCACAUAUGACAGAAAUUUAAACAGAGUACUUUGGGCUAAAAACAUCUCGCCGGAGUUCAUCAACCCAACAUACCAUAGUUCACCACGCAUAGCAUAGGUGAGUUUUUGCAAACCAUAAUAAUCAUACAUAGCAUAGGGGAAUCGAAACCUAGCAUAGGGGAUCUACUAGUCGCCGGAGCCGGGGGUGGGCGGGGGUCUACUUCACUGUGGUUCUACUCAUCCGAGUCAGAGUUAUCCGAGUCGGAGUCGUCAUCCUCAUCGUCGCCGUCACCCUCAUCAUCGUCGUCGCUGGAAAUGACCUCGGCGGGCAGCGUUUUCUCUCCGUAAAGGGUGUCGGUGAUGAGGUCACUGUUGAUCCGGGUUUGGAGGUCGUACUCCUCCCAGAGCGCCGGCAGCCGCACAACCGCAGCCGUAUCUCCGGCGUCGGCGGCGGUCCUCGCCUCAAACCACACCCGUCCGGCCGCACGCUGGCGUUGGAGCGCCGGGUCGAAGAACCGGCCGUAGCGCAGGAAGGUCUUCCACCCAUGCGACCUCGAUCCGGCGCUGCGGGGCUUGGCGCAGAAAGUGCACGCCACCUCCCGUUUCUUCUUCGACACCGAAGGGGGGAGGCCAGAGCCGCCGGCCUCGUCGUCGUUUUGACACUUGUGGGCGAAGAAGCUUCCACGCGCGCCGCCUCCACCACGGCACCCGAAGCCACCGCGGUCGCCGAACCCCCUUCCGCUGCCACGCCCCGCACCGGCGGACGCCAUGGUAGCUUCGAUCCGGCGAAAACAGGCCACAAAAGGCUGCCAGAGCGCGCUCGAUUUCUCACUGGAGUACACGAAAUGUGGCGGAGGGGGCUAGAGGAAACGGAGGGCGGAUACCCUAAAUCGACUGGAAGCCGGCAUAUAUAUCGGAUUGGGGGCGGUUUACGGGCCUCGCGUAAACUUUUUACGGGCCGGACUUUUUUCGUGUAUCUGCUCGGGCCGAUUAUUUGGGUCGUCCCGUAUAACGGCCGGAAAAGCGUAGUUCACGGGCCUUAUGCGGGAUCUGCUACAGAUGCUCAAAUAACUAAUAAUAUAGCUUUUGUUUACUAGGGUACGGCGAGUCCUCCAUUUAGCCCAUUUUUUGGACAAAAAAGAAAGAAACGGCGGUAAUAUAUGCACACAUAACUACAAUUUUCUGUUAAUCCAAAAUAGUAAUGAUGAAAAUAUAAUUUCGUUUCGCCAGACCAUAUUUGUCUUCGUGUAGCCUACAUGUGAUGAUUUUAAGAUACUUAUACCCAUGAUAUCUAGUAGAUCGACUAGAUUUGUUGCGCAUGCCAACACGCAAAUGUUAGUUUAAAAAAAACUAUGAACCCUGUGUAAAUUCAUUGCGUUCCUUUUUACUAGUAUUUGAGAUAAAUUCCAAAUUGUUAGGUGUAUUUUCCUUUUACACUAGUAAAAGCCGCCAAUUAUACUCAUGUAAUCAUUGUUGUGACAUGUGGCAUUUCAACCCAAAAUUAUGCUUAAACCACUAUAUUGCUCGAUAAUGUUGUGCCCAUACUUUCAGUCGGUUUGGCUCAAGGUUAUUGUCCCCGUGACGCUUUUGCUUCGGUGGUCGUCGUUGUGGUAAGCGAGUUUGGGUCGUGUUGUUGUGGGUCGGGCUUCAACUUUCGUAGUGUAAGAGUUUUGGUUCCAUUCCUUGUGAUGUUAGGUCAUUUAGGGUACUCUGCCUCUACCUAGUAGACUAGUAGUGCCGCUAUGAUGUUGCAUGGGUCAUGCCUUCUCGGCGUUGUAGCAUCAUUCUUUCUUUAGGAAUUCACGUCCAGCUAGAUCUUCCGCAUGGUUCUGAAAAUAAAAAUGAAAUAAUGGGCCAAUUGUUUUUCAUUGUUAAACGAAAGAAUAUGGCUUCUUUGCCUUUUAAUUACUACUAGUGGGCCAAUUGUUCUGAAUAUGGCUUAAAAUGGGUAAUUUUCCCUUUUAGCAAAGCACACAAAAAGGCAGGGUUACUUACUUUUUUUUUGGAAUGAAAAACUCUUAAAAAUUCCAGCGGUUGACUGGUGUUUGUUAAUAAAAAUAAGAAAGGAGUAUGAAAGUAGGAAGGUGGGAGGGGAAAGCGAAGGAAGCGAGUGAGCGGUUUAUUUUUGUAGUUCCCUUCCCUACACACUCAUGCAAGCGGUUUAUUCUUGCGGUGUCCCCAUGACGCUUGUGCUUCAGUCAAUGCUGUUCUCAUCGUUGUCACGGUGGUCGAGUUUGGGUUGCGUUUGUGACGGUACUCACCUUUUUUCAUUGUUAACGAAAAGAAUAUGGCUCGUUUGCCUUUUAAUUGCUAGCAAAGCACACAUAGAAAAUGCAUGAUUGAUUACUUGUGAUGAGCAGGCUGGUUGUUUUUGUCUUGAACCCCAAAAAAUGGUCCUUUUUAGCAAAGCACAAGAAAAGGCAGGGUUACUUACUUUUUUUGGAAAUGGAAAACUCUUAAAAAUUCAAGUUUGGGUUGCGUUUGUUGCGGAUUGGGUACUGGGUUUUGCAUCCAUGCCUUGCGAUGUCAUGUUGUUUAGAGUUUUUCGGCGAGGCACGCCCUACCCCUAUGAGCACCUCCGAAAGACUGAGCCGGCAGGAAUGUCUCCUCCCACUGAAUGCGCAUCGCCGUAAAUCCUGAAAUAAAUCCAGAAAUAAAUGCGAGCACCAGGAUUUGAACUCUGAUGGACUGGGGAUACCACUGUCCCUCUAACCAUCCAACCACAGGUUGAUUUGCGAGUGAAAAAAGUCUUGAUUAUAUAAGAUUGAUAAUGUCAACAGUUGACCGGUUUGUGUUUGUUUGUUAAUUAUAUUAGUAUAUAUAAAUAAAAGAAGAAAAAGGAGUAUGAAAGCAGUAAGGUGGAAGGGGAAAGCGAAGGAUGGGUUUAUUCUUCCAUUUGUGUUGUAGAAAGAAGUCGUCAUUUUCUUCUUGUUCCACUUCCGUUGCCUUGCCUCCUCCUUCUUUCUUUCUUGUCUAUCAUCAUCAGCAUCCAUCCAUCCACCAAAAUAAAUAAAUAUUCCACCUUUUUGUUUCCAGAUUACCAGAUGAUGAGUUGAUUCAUUCUCAAUAUCCACCAAAAAGGCGGGGUUACUUACUUUUAUGGAAUGGAAAACUCUUAAAAGUUCCAGCAAUUGACUGGUGUUUAUUAAUCAAAAGAUAAAAGGAGUAUAGCGAUCCCGCAUAUGACAAAAAAUUAAACAAAGUACUUCGCGCUAGAAACAUCUCGCCAGAGUUCAUCAACCCAACAUACCAUAGUUCACCACGCAUAGCAUACGGGAGUUUUUACAAACCAUAAUAAUUAUACAUAGCAUAGGGGCACCGAAACAUAGUCGCCCGAGGGGGUGGGCAGGGGUCUACUUCACCGGGGUUCUACUCGUCGGAGUCAGAGUCGUCGCCCUCGUCAUUGUCGUCGCUGGAGAUGACCUUGGCGGGCAGCGGCUUCCCUCCAUGAAUGGUGUCGUAGAUGAGGUCGCAGGAGAUCCGGGUUUGGAGUUGGUACUCAUCCCAGAGCGUCAGCAGCCGCACAGCCGCAACCGCAUCUUCGGCAUCGGCGGUGGUCCUCGCCUCAAACCAUGCCCACUCGGCCUCCCACUGGCACUGGAUCGCCGAGUCGGAGAGCCGGCCGCAGCGCCGGAAGGUAUUCCACGCACGCGAGCUCGAUCCAGCGCUGCAGGACUUGGCGCCACACGUGCACGCCGCCUCCCGUUGCUUCUUCGACACGGGAGAGCGGAGGCCAGAGCCGCCGGCCUCGUUGUCGUUCUGGCGCUUGCGGGCGAAGAAGCCGCCGCGCGCAUCGACUCCACAGCGACACCUGAAGCCACCGCGAUUGCCGAACCCCCUUCCGCCGCCACGCCCCGCACCGGCGGAUGCCAUGGUAGCUUCGAUCUGGCCGAAACAGGCUGCAAUAGGCCGUCGGAGCGCGCUCGAUUUCUCGCCGGAGUACACGAAAUGCGGCGGAGAGGGCUAGAGGAAAUGGAGGGCGGGUACCCUAAAUCGGCCGGAAGCCGGCAUAUAUACCGGAUGGGGGGGGGGGGGCUUUUCAGGGGCCAGGACUUUUUUUGGGUAUCUACUCGGGCCGAUUAUUUGGGUCGUCCCGUAUAACGGGCGGAAAAGCGUAGUUCGCCGGCCUUAUGCGGGAUCUGCUAGAGAUGCUCUAAUAACUUUUCUUUUGCGAAUAAGAGAUGCUCUAAUAACUUUAUAGCUUUUGUUUACUGAGCUACUGCCAGCCCUCCAUUUAGGCUAUUUUUUUGACAGAAAAAGGAAAGAAACGGCGGUAAUAUAUGCACAUAUAACUACAAUUUUCUGUUAAUCCAAAAUAGUAAUGAUGAAAAUAUAAUUUCAUUUUGCCAGACCAUAUUUGUCUUCGUAUAGCUUAUAUGUGACGAUUUUAAGAUACUUAUACCCAUGAUAUCUAGUAGACUAGAUUUGUUGCGCAUGCCAACAUGCAAAUGUUAGUUAAAAAAAAACUAUGAGCCCUGAGUAAGUUCCAUUUUUUUACUAGUAUUUGAGAUAAAUUCCAAAUUGUUAUGUGUAUUUCCUUUUACACUAUCAAAAGCUGGCAAUUAUACUCAUGUAAUCAUUGUUGUGACAUGUGGCAUUUCAACCCAAAAUUAUGCUCAAACCAAUAUAUUGCUCACCAUACAUACAUAAUUUAUACAAUACAAAUAGGUUUUGUCGCGGGUUAACCGAGGCUUUUGCUCAUGUUGUUCAACUUUUGUUGCUCAAUAAUGUUGUGCCUAUACUUUCAGUCGGUUUGGCUCAAGGUUAUUGUCCCCGUGACGCUUUUGCUUCAGUGGUCAUUGUUGUGGUAAGCGAGUUUGGGUCGUGCUGUUGUGGGCCGGGCUUCAACUUUCGUAGUGUAAGAGUUUUCGGUUCCAUUCCUUGUGAUGUUAGGUCAUUUAGGGUGCUAUGUCUAGUCGAACCUCUAUGGCGUUGUAUGGGUCAUGCCUUUUGCGGUGUUGUAGCAUCGUUCUUUCUUUAGGAAUUCAGGUGCAGCUAGAUCUUCCCCAUGGUUCUGAAAAGAAACAAAAGAAAAGAAUGGGGCAAUUUCUUUUUCAUUGUUAACCGAAAGAAUAUGGCUCCUUUUGCCAUUUAAUUACUACUAGCAAAGCACACAUAGAAAAACAUGAUUGAUUACUUGGAAUGAGCAAGAUGGUUGUUUUUGUCUUGAACCCCAGAAUAUGGCCCUUUUAGCAAAGGAGAAGAAAAGGCAGGGUUAAUUACUUUUUUUCCAGAAUGGAAAACUCAGAUUCCAGCAGUUGACUGGUGUUUGUUAAUCAAAAGAAGAAAAGAAAAGAAGAAAGAAGUAUGAAAGUAGGAAGGUGGGAGGGGGAAAGCGAAGGGAGCGAGUGAGCGGUUUAUUCUUGCGGUUCCCAUUCCCACACGCCCAUGCAAGCGGUUUAGUUUUGCAGUGUCCCCGCGACGCUUGUACUUCUGUCGAUGUUGUCGUCAUCAUUGGUCAUGGUAGUCAAGUUUGGAUUGCGUUUGUUGCGGACUGGAUGACGGGUUUCGCAUCCAUGCCUUGCAAUGUCAAAAAAAAUGAGACCAACCCAAGGGCUAACCCUCGUUGGCAUUCUUUUAUAGAAGAAACUCCGUGAGCACGGUAUGUCAAAGCCAGGGCUUCAACUUGGGUGGGCUGGCAGCUACCCAGCUGCCCAGCCAACGGGUCGACGCCCCAUCCUCAUGCCUUGCGAUGUCAUGCCGGUGUGUGUUUGUUUGUUAAUUAAUAAAUACUGGUACAGAAGAAGAAAAAGGAGUAUGAAAGCAGUAAGGUGGGAGGGGAAAGGGAAGGGAGCUACCACUGGGUUGGGUUUAUUCUCCCAUUUCAGUUAGACGAGUCAUUUUCUCCUCCUCCUUCAUUCUGUUUCUUCACUUGCUUCUUUCUUUCUUUCUUUCUUGUGCCGACACAACACAGAGAUCAUGAGAGAGCACCCAUAUUUAUCAUCAGCAUCAGCAUCCAUCCAUCCACCAAAAUAAAUAAAAAUAAAUAUUCCACCUUUCUUCCCCUUUCCUUUUUGUCUUGAGAUUACCUGAUCAUGAGUUGACCCAUUCAUCCUCAGUGCAUACUCUCUAAAAUCUACUCGUAGAUCACCUCACUCUACCUAAUUUCUUUAGCUUACCAAUCCUCCUCUUUACAUAGCGUAGCGUAGGUAGGGGAAAGAAAGGAGUGUGUGUGUCUGUAAAUACUCCCUCCGUCCCAAAAUUCUUGUCUAACAUUUGUCUAAAUACGGAUGUAUCAAAUCACGUUUUAGUAUUAGAUACAUUCAUAUCUAAAUAAAUUUCAGACAAGAAUUUUGGGACGGAGGGAGUACUAAAGCAGCAGUCAGCACUCAGCAGCAAAAAAAUGUUAGGUCAUUUAGGGUGCUAUGUCUAGUCGAACCUCUAUGGCGUUGUACGGGUCAUGCCUUGUCGGCGUUGUAGCAUCAUUCUUUCUUAACGAAUUCAGGUAGAUCUUCCGCAUGGUUCUGAAAACAAAAAGGAAAAGAACGGGCCAAUUGUCUUUUCAUUGUUCCGAAAGAAUAUGGCUUCUUUGCCUUUUAAUUACUACAAGGCAGUAGCAAAGCACACAUAAAAAAAAGGCAUGAUUGGAUUUACUUGGAAUGAGCAGGCUGGCUGUUUUUUCCUUGAACUCCAAAAAAAUGGGUAAUUUACCCUUUUAGCAAAGCACACAAAAAGGCAGGGUUACUUACUUUGAUGGGAUGGAAAACUCUUAAAAAUUCCAGCUGUUGACUGGUGUUUGUUAAUCAAAAGAAGAAAGGAGUAUAGCGAUCCCACAUAUGACAUAAAUUUAAACAGAGUACUUUGCGCUAAAAACAUCUCGCCGGAGUUCAUCAACCCAACAUACCAUAGUUCACCACGCAUAGCAUAGGAGAGUUUUUGCAAACCAUAAUAAUUAUACAUAGCAUAGGGGAAUCGAAACAUAGCAUAGGGGAUCUACUAGUCGCCGGAGCCGGGGGUGGGCGGGGGUCUACUUCACUGAGGUGCUACUCAUCUGAGUCAGAGUUAUCCGAGUCAAAGUCGUCGCCCACAUCGUCGCCGUCACCCUCAUCGUCGUUGUCGCUGGAGAUGACCUCGGUGGGCAGCGGCUUCCCUCCGUAAAGGGUGUCGGUGAUGAGGUCACCGUAGAUCCGGGUUUGGAGGUCGUACUCCUCCCAGAGCGCUGGCAGUCACGCAGCCGCAGCCGCAUCUCCGGCGUCGGCGGCGGUCCUCGCCUCAAACCACGCCCGUCCGGCCUCACGCUGGCGCUGGAGCGCCGGGUCGAAGAGCCGGCCGUAGCGCAGGAAGGUCUUCCACCCAUGCGACCUCGAUCCGGCGCUGCGGGACUUGGCGCAACAAGUGCACACCGCCUCCCGUUUCUUCUUCGACAAAGGAGGGGGGAGGCCAGAGCCGCCGGCCUCGUCGUCGUUUUGGUGCUUGCGGGCAAAGAAGCCACCGCGCGCGCCGCCUCCACCACGGCACCCGAAGCCACCACGGUCACCGAACCCCCUCCCGCCGCCACGGCCCGCACUGGCGGACACCAUGGUAGCUUCGAUCCGGAGGAAAACAGGCCGCAAAAGGCUGCCGGAGCACGCUCGAUUUCUCGCCGGAGUACACGAAAUGCGGCGGAGGGGGCUAGAGGAAAUGGAGGGCGGAUACCCUAAAUCGAUUGGAAGCCGGCAUAUAUACCAGAUUGGGGGCGGUUUACGGGCCUCCCGUAAACUUUUUACGGGCCGGGACUUUUUCCGGGUAUCUGCUCGGGCUGAUUAUUUGGAUCGUCCCGCUAGAGAUGCUCUAAUAACUAAUAAUAUAGCUUUUCUUUACUGAGCUAAGGCGAGCCCUCCAUUUAGGCCACUUUUUGGACAGGAAAAGAAAGAAACGGCGGUAAUAUAUGCACACAUAACUACAAUUUUCUGUCAAUCCAGAAUAGUAAUGAUGAAAAUAAUAUAAUUUCAUUUUGCCGACAUAUUUGUCUUCGUGUAGUCUACAUGUGAUGAUUUUAAGAUACUUAUACCCAUGAUAUCCAGUAGAUCGACUAGAUUUGUUGCGCAUGCCAACAUGCAAAUGUUAGUUUAAGAAAAACUAUGAACCAUGUGUAAAUUCAUUGCGUUCCUUUUUACUAGUAUUUGAGAUAAAUUCCAAAUUGUUAGGUGUAUUUUCCUUUUACACUAGUAAAAGCCGCCAAUUAUACUCAUGUAAUCAUUGUUGUGACAUGUGGCAUUUCAACCCAAAAUUAUGCUUAAACCAGUAUAUUGCUCAAUAAUGUUGUGCCCAUACUUUCAAUCGGUUUGGCUCAAGGUUAUUGUCCCCAUGACGCUUUUGCUUCGGUGGUCGUCGUUGUGGUAAGCGAGUUUGGGUCGUGUUGUUGUGGGUCGGGCUUCCACUUUCGUAGUGUAAGAGUUUCGGUUCCAUUCCUUGUGAUGUUAGGUCAUUUAGGGUGCUCUGCCUCUACCUAGUAGUGCCUCUAUGAUGUUGCAUGGGUCAUGCCUUCUCGGCGUUGUAGCAUCAUUCUUUCUUUAGGAAUUCACGUGCAGCUAGAUCUUCCGCAUGGUUCUGAAAAUAAAAAGGAAAUAAUGGGCCAAUUGUUUUUCAUUGUUAAACGAAAGAAUAUGGCUUCUUUGCCUUUAAUUACUACUAGUGGGCUAAUUGUUCUGAAUAUGGCUUAAAAUGGGUAAUUUUCCCUUUUAGCAAAGCACACAAAAAGGCAGGGUCACUUACUUUUUUUUGGAAUGAAAAACUCUUAAAAAUUCCAGCGGUUGACUGGUGUUUGUAAUAAAAAGAAGAAAGGAGUAUGAAAGUAGGAAGGUGGGAGGGGAAAGCGAAGGAAGCGAGUGAGCGGUUUAUUUUUGUAGUUCCCUUCCCUACACACUCAUGCAAGCGGUUUAUUCUUGCGGUGUCCCCAUGACGCUUGUGCUUCAGUCGAUGUUGUUGUCAUCGUUGUCACGGUGGUCGAGUUUGGGUUGUGUUUGUGACGGUACUCAUCUUUUUUCAUUGUUAAUGGAAAGAAUAUGGCUCGUUUGCCUUUUAAUUGCUAGCAAAGCACACAUAGAAAAGGCAUGAUUGAUUACUUGGGAUGAGCAGGCUGGUUGUUUUUGUCUUGAACCCCAGAAAAUGGCCCUUUUAGCAAAGCACAAGAAAAGUCAGGGUUACUUACUUUUUUUGGGAAUGGAAAACUCUUAAAAAUUCCAGCAGUUGGUGUUUGUUAAUCAAAAGAAUAAAAGAAAAGAUAAAAGAAGAACAAAGAAGUAUGAGAGCGGGAAGGUGGGAGGGGAAAGCGAGUGAGCGGUUUAUUCUUGCGGUUCCCUUUUCCACACGCUCAUGCAAGCGGUUUAUUCUUGCAGUGUCCUCGGGACGCUUGUGCUUCGUUGAUGUUGUCGUCAUCGUAGUCAAGUUUGGGUUGCGUUUGUUGCAGAUUGGGUGCUGGGUUUCGCAUCCAUGCCUUGCGAUGUCAUGUUGUUUAGAGUUUUUCGGCGAAGCACGCCCCUGUGGCGUAAUAGUUUCAUCCCUAUGAACGCACACACGCAAACCCUACCCCUAUGAGCACCUCCGAAAGACUGAGCUGGCAGGAACGUCUCCUCCCACUGAAUGUGCAUCGCCGGAAAUCCUGAAAUAAAUCCAGGAAUAAAUGCGAGUACCAGGAUUUAAACCCUGGUGGGCUGGGGAUACCACAGUCCCUCUAACCAUCCAACCACAGGUUGAUUCGCGAGUGAAAGAAGUCUUGAUUAUAUAAGAUUGAUAAUGUCAGCAGUUGACCGGUGUGUUUGUUUGUUAAUUAUAUUAGUAUAUAUAAAUAAAAGAAGAAAAAGGAGUAUGAAAGCAGUAAGGUGGAAGGGGAAAGCGAAGGAUGGGUUUAUUCUUCCAUUUGUGUUGUAGAAAGAAGUCGUCAUUUUCUUCUUGUUCCACUUCGGUUGCCUUUGCCUCCUUCUUCUUUCUUUCUUGUCUAUCAUCAUCAGCAUCCAUCCAUCCAUUCCUAGUUGGUGCAGAGGCCGGGGAAGUGAAAUUCUCCCCCAUUUUUUAAGAUCCAACCUCGGUGUAAACCCGUUCCUUCAGAGAAGCGAUGGUGAAUUGCUAGGUUCCAUAUCGGACUGCAGAGGAACAGGAGGCGAUGCGGGGGGCGACUGGCGGCUCGUCCGUCGGAAUCACCGCGGGGUCAGCGUCCUACGCGUCCGGUGAUCGCCGGUGCGUGGGGGGCCGCUUCUGGGCCCUGGCCGAUGCUGACGAAGGUGAGGGAGAUGAAGAUCCGGACGUGGCGGCGCCGCUAUCUCCUUCAUCGGCGACUCCCUCAGACUACAUUUGCGAUUUUUUGAGCGUUGGGUACGACGAAGCCGAUGUGGCCGCCACCAUUGAUGAAAUCCUUCCAGUUGACGAUCCGGCGAGAGUCGGGCUUAGUGCGCGGGAGACAACAGAGAUGGUUCGCCGGAUUGUCCACAGGAGAACGGCGGCGGCGGCAGCUCGGCCCUGGAAGGGUCCUUUACCUAAGGUACGUCUUCUGAAUUUGACCUUGUUCGAUAUGAUUCGGCCGGAUUCAUGGACAUUGGUGAAGAGACGAAAGAAUUCUCGCCGGAAUGGAUGUAGAUCGACGCCGGAGGUGACUGCGGCGGCCUCGCCGGCGGUCACGGCGAUCCCGAUCCGGCUCGCUCGCAAGGAGCGUUUGAACAUGUUACUGGGCCGAGCCGAUCCUGAGGUUGUUGGGCUGGCUGGUAUUCUUGGGCCGAGGUCUGGUGGGUAUGAGGCCUAGGCAGAAUCGAUUCCAAUCGUUAUAGAGGGGGGGGACGCAUGCAUGUAUCGAUCAUCGUCGUCCACCCAGUCGCUGCGCCCUAGGGUUUUCCGUCGCCCAUCGCGAUUGCGUACCGCGGGUCCUGGCCGAGCGCGCUGUAUUCCACCUCUCGGAGUGAUGGCAGGGCCUGGAGGCGCGCCUCCUCCCGGAAAGCGGCCGCACCAGCCGGGGGGGCUUCUCGGGCCAUUGGGGCGCCGCCGCCUAGCCAUGGCACUGGCCGGGGUGCGUAGCCGGCGCAGGUGCCAGGUGCGAGGCGUGGCCGCGUCGAGAUCCCCAGCGCUGUGGCAGGCCGCGGGUCGGGUGGACCUGUGGUGCAGCCCUCUGUUGGCGGGGUUCCAGCUGCGAGGCAGCCAGCCCCGUCCUUGCCUUCGGGCGGGCGUGGCGGACAGGGAGCCGGUCCUCGACCGGUGGCUGCUGACGGUGCUGCGGCAGCAGCUGCGGGUCGGGGCAUUGCUCCUCUCAAGCCGCCGGCAUCUUCGGAUCCGCAUCCCAGAUCGGCCCCUCCUCCCAACGUCGUCACUCGCCCGCUUCCGCUGUCGCAGCCCAACGCGGUUGGGGCUGUGGUUGCGCCCCGAGGGCAGUGGGGGGAUGAUGGCUACGACGCGUAUGGGGCUGGCCAGCACCGUGGUUCGUCGUCCACGGGUGGAGGCCGUGGGUAUGCUUGGCAAAGCGACGGCUCGGCUGAGAGACUGUUCUUGGGUCCGUUCGGUGGUUUCGUUGAGGGGCCUUCCGGUCCGGGUAAUUGGCAGCGGGGAGGUUUCCGGGGCCAUCGUGGUGGUCGGGGUGGUCGAGGGGGUCGGUUCCGUCCACGACAACCGCCCCUCCCGCUGUUGUCGAGCAGACGACAGAGAGCGGGGCUGCCGAGGAGCCAGUGUUGACCGGUCGUGCGAUGGAGGUGGUGACGGCUCUUGCCACUGUCCAGGUUCCUGAGAACGAGGUUAUGGCUGAUGUGUCAGUGGAGUUGUCGGACAGGGCUGAGUCUGACAGGGCGUCCAAAUGGGCUCGCAAGAAGGAAAAGAUGCUUUGCUAUAGAUGUGGUGAAAAGGGCCACUUCAUUGCGGAGUGUGUGGUUCCGCUUUGUGAUACCUGUGGUAAACCGGCACAUGACUCUGGGGACUGCCCAAUGCUACGAGAUCAGGCGCCGUCACUUAUGAUGUACGGAGUUUACUGUGCUGAGCUCAUGUUUUUUGAGUCUUCGAUUGAGAGAGAGGUGGAUUAUGAGACGACGACCAUGAAUACGGGGAUUGUUAAGGUCACUAAAGGGGAGGUUUCUAAGGCACAGAUCGUGCAGAGGCUUCGGGAGUUGGCCCCCGGAGACUUCCAGUGGGAUCUCUUCAGCCUCACUGAUAAGAUGUUCAAGGUUGAGUUUCCUUCAGUGGAGGAUCUGCAGAGGUUGCUGAGUUUUGGGAUGUGUAAAGUGCCAGGAACUGAUUGCGUCCUUGAGUUUCACGAGUGGAAGCAGGUAGAGCCUCAGGGCAAGCCUCUUACUCAGGCGUGGUUGCGGUUCUCCGGAGUCCCUUCCAAGCCGUUGCAGGAUGCUCGGGUUGUGGCCAGUUUGGGUAUUUUGAUGGGAAAGCCUGAGAGGGUGGAUAUGGCGUUUACCAGAGCUCACAGGAUUGCUCGGGUUCUGGUUAGUAUUCUGAACACUGACUUUGUGCCGGAGGUUGUCAAGUGGGCUUAUCGAGGCAUGAUUUAUAGUCUGGUUAUUGAGUUUGAGGAUGAGAGCCUUCUGGCGGCGGACGCUCAUGGGUCGGACGUGGAUAUGCACGAGGGCGAUGGUAGCGCGGGGGCUAAGGAUCCGCCGGUCGAUGACUCUGGACGGCUGCAGUCCAAUGGACCGGGGUCUGAGAGCACGACGACUGAGGGAGGAGCGGCUCCACCUUCCUCGGUGCCUAUGACGACUUUGAGAUUUGGGUCCUUUGAACCCGCUUCUGCUCCCCCGAGACUGUGGAGCGAUCGGGUGGAGUCCGAGGAGGCUUCUGAGUAUGCGUUGCCUACUUUGGACUUUGAGGAUGCUCUUUGUGCUAGUCUGGGGGUUCCUGGUGAUUCGUCGGUACCGGUUUGGGGAGUGGGGGAGGUGAGUCGGCAGGUGGCCACUCCCUCUCGUGCUCACCACGGUGUUCCUCCCCAGGACGUGGCUGGUCUGUCGGCUGAGGGCCCGGGGCAGGAGGCCUCGGGUUACCCUUCUUCUGCCGACGUUGGACCGUUGGGACACGAGGCGCCCGUGUCUGUCGUUGCGCUGGGAGGGGGUUUGGGGCAGGUGGCCUCGGACACCUAUUCUCCCGUCGCAUCGUUCCUGCUGCCAGUGGCGCCCGUGCCGUCGGGAGGGGGCUCGGGGAAGGUGACCUCGGCGCCCUCCUCCCCUGAGGCGCCUACGGCAUUGGCCUCUCCGGUGCAUGGUGGGGAGCUCGGGCAGGUGGCCCAUGCACCCCCUUCCCCCCGUUCACCUCUAGCUCUGCCUUGUGAGGUGAGCCCGUCGCCGGUGGUCGGGGCUUCUGCUCAGCCUCGCCAGAGGAGUGAGGCAGGAGGUCCUACCCUGUCCAGGUUCUCUCGUGAGGAGGUGAUUGCGUUUGGAGGGAUUCAGGACCAGAUGUCUGAGGGGCGACGGGUGAGCGAUCGCCUCCAGACUAUGCCUAAUGUGGACGACAUCCAGCAGCGGUGCGCCAUGAGGGCAGCCAAGCUCUGUGACGUUGAGGUCACUACUGGUAUGUCGGUUAAUAUUUCUAAUUCCAUUAUGCAUUUUUUUAAUGAUGAGAUUGUUGAAAAUGCAAAUCAAUUAGGAGUCUCACUUGGUAGUAAUGUCACUAGAAUCUCUAAUUCCGUUAAUGACCUUCUUGAUCUAGAGGCUGAGAGGGCCUUAGAGAUGAUUCGUAACAUUGCGGCCGUUAGGCCUAUGAGUGAUUCUGAGGUUGAGGCUCUGGGGGUCAGGGUGCUUGAUCCUUUCUGUGCGGACCUUAUUCAUGCUAUUCCGGAGGCGGAGGAGGAGGAGGAUGAAACUUCUCAGGCGGUUUUGCAUGGACCUUCUGCGACGGGUUGUGAGGACCAGUCACAAAGCCAUGUUAAUCCGAAACGCAAGUGGAAACGGAAGGUGUACCCGGUGUCCACGGUGCGUAGGAGUGCUAGGAUUCGUACGGCUAAAAAAUUCCAUGAUGAACUAUGAAAGGAAUCUUUUGGAAUAGCAGAGGUCUAAAGGACUUGUCUAAAAGAAGAUUUCUUGCUGAGGCGGCGGUCGAGCAUCGAUUAGAUUUUAUAGCUCUAUCGGAGACCGGUAGAGAUAAUUUUGCGCCUCAGUUUCUUAGUACUUUGUCAGGCGGGAUUGACUUCGAUUGGCAUUGCUUGCCAACGAGAGGGAGAUCGGGUGGGAUCUUGCUCGGCGUUCGAUGCAAAGCGCUCGAGGUUCGAAGUGUGGUUAUGGGUGACUUUGCGGUCAUGUUUCGGGUUAGAUCGAAGGAGGAUGGUUUUAAUUGGGCUCUGGUUGCAGUAUAUGGGGCUGCGCAACCCGAACUCAAGCCCGAGUUCUUGGUGGAUCUCGUUAGGAUUUGCGGCUCCGAGCAGCUUCCUAUCCUGGUGGGGGGCGAUUUUAAUAUCAUUAGACGGCGUGAGGAUAAGAACAAUGAUAACUUUGAUGGCCGAUGGUCAUUCAUGUUUAAUACUAUCAUUGAAAGUCUUGACCUGAGAGAAAUUGAGCUCUCUGGUAGGAAAUUUACCUGGGCUAACGCGUUGCCAAAUCCGACGUAUGAGAAGUUGGAUAGAGUGUUGGCGAGCGUCGAGUGGGAACAGAAGUUUCCUCUAGUAACAGUUCAGGCUUUGUCCCGUGGGAUUUCUGAUCACACGCCGUUGUUUGUGGACUCCGGUGAGGCCACCCACCUGGGUAAUAAAAACUCCUUCUCGUUUGAGCUGGCUUGGUUUGAACGAGAAGGUUUCUUUGAUCUCGUAGCCAGAGAGUGGGCUAAGGAUUCAGGAGGGAAGACUGCGAUCCAGCGCUGGUAGAAUAAGAUUAGGCAUUUGAGAAGCUUCCUGCGUGGUUGGGCUAAACAUCUUAGCGGGAUUUAUAAGGUCGAAAAGGAAAGGCUCCUUUCCCUUAUUCAGGCCCUAGAUGUGAAAGAUGAAACCACGGUUCUGCCGGCCGCGGAGCUUCAUGCCAAGCUUGAUGCAGAGAUGAGGCUGAAAGAACUCCUUCGAGAGGAAAAAUUGAAGUGGGCGUUGCGGGCCAAGGUCCGGCGAGUAGUCUAGGGGGAUGCGAACACUCAAUUUUUUCACAUGAUCGCUAAUGGUAAACAUAGAAAGAAGAGGAUCUUUCAGCUUGAGCAAGAUGAAUGAACAAUUGUAGGUCAUGAAAACCUUAAGUAGUAUAUUACUGAGUACUACAAGCAGCUAUUUGGUCCUCCCGAGGAUAACUGCGUGUCCUUGGAUGAGUCCAGGGUUGAGGAUGUCCCUCAACUCACAGCGGUGGAGAAUCAUAUUCUCGCGGCACCUUUUUCUGAGAAAGAGGUGUUCGAGGCCAUAUCGCAGAUGAAGAAUAAUAAGGCACCGGGCCCUGAUGGUUUUCCGGCAGAGUUUUAUAAAAAGUGCUGGCAUAUUAUUAAGGGGGAUCUGUUGCCUCUGUUUAAUAAUCUCUUCUCUGGACAGCUUCAGCUUUUCCAGUUGAAUUUUGGGACGAUAACCCUUCUCCCUAAGAAAACAGAGGCUGUGAGAAUUGAGAAAUUCAGGCCCAUCUGUCUUCUGAAUGUUAGCUUCAAAAUCUUUACCAAGGUUGGGACUAAUAGGCUCACAAAGAUUGCGCAUGCGAUGGUAUAGCCUACCCAAACUGCUUUCAUGCCGGACAGGAACAUCCUUGAAGGGGUUGUGGUCCUUCAUGAAACGCUCCAUGAGAUCCACACGAAAAAGCUGGACGGGGUUAUUUUCAAAGUGGAUUUCGAUAAAGCGUAUGACAAAGUCAAAUGGCCCUUCCUUCAACAGGCCUUGCGUAUGAAGGGAUUCGAUGAAGCUUGGCGACGCGAGGUAGAAUCCUUCACGCAAAAAGGGAGUGUUAGAAUUAAAGUGAAUGACGAUAUAGGUCAUUAUUUCCAGACACACAAAGGCCUGAGGCAAGGUGAUCCGAUGUCUCCUGUUUUGUUCAACAUUGUGGCGGACAUGUUGGCAAUUCUUAUAGGAAGGGCAAAGGAGGCCGGUCAGGUGGGUGGCUUGGUGCCUCAUCUGGUUGACGGGGGUGUCUCCAUUCUGCAGUACGCUGAUGAUACAAUCAUCUUUAUGGAGCAUGACUUGGUAAAAGCGAGAAAUAUGAAGCUAGUGUUAUGCUUAUUUGAACAAUUGUCCGGAUUAAAGAUUAACUUUCACAAAAACGAGUUGUUCUGCUUUGGUAGAGCCAAGGAGGAACAAGAGGCUUAUAGGCAAUUGUUUGGUUGUGAGUUAGGGGCUUUACCUUUCACGUACCUAGGUAUACCCAUUCACCAUCGUAAGCUAACGUGGGCACAGAUUCUUCGUAACAAGUAUCUGCAGUCCAAGACUUUGUCACAGGUGACCGUGAGACAAAUGGACUCGCCGUUUUGGAAGGGGCUUAUGAGAGUUAAGGCCGCCUUCUUUAAUAGAACAAAGUUUGUCGUCGAUAAUGGUAACAAUACCCGUUUCUGGGAGGAUACGUGGCUUGGUGAUACACCAUUGGCGUUACAGUAUCCGUCCCUGUAUCGUAUUGUUCAACGACGUGACGCGCUGGUUGCAACGAUUAUGCAGUCCGUUCCCCUUAAUAUCCAGUUUCGGAGGGUGCUUAUUGGUGAUAGGUGGGAAGCUUGGCUUCAUCUGGUGACUAGACUGAUGGAGGUUCAGUUAGCUCAUCAGCCCGAUCAAUUGUGUUGGAAACUUACUGGGUCUGGAGUGUUUACGGUUAGGUCGAUGUAUAUCGAUGUCAUUAACUCUAGCAUCAUUCCUAGUUCCAAACAUGUUUGGAAAGUUAAAGUUCCUUUGAAGAUUAAAGUGUUUAUGUGGUUUGUACAUAAACAAGUCAUUUUAACAAAGGACAACUUGGUUAAGCGCAAUUGGACAGGCUCUAUUAGGUGUAGCUUCUGUAAUCGGGACGAGACCAUUAAGCACCUCUUCUUCGAGUGCCCAUUGGCGAGAGUCUUAUGGCGCACGGUGCAAAUUUCCUUUAACAUUACUCCACCGGACUCGGUAGGUUCGUUGUUUGGAACGUGGCUGGCUGGGAUAGAGUCCGAAACCGCUGGACACAUUCGUGUUGGAGUAUGUGCGUUGUUAUGGGCAAUUUGGAACUGCAGGAAUGAUUUGGCUUUUAACAGAACAACAGCUAUUCAUUUUUUGCAGGUUUUAUUCCAUGCUACGGCGCUGAUCCGUUUGUGGUCCUUACUCACUCCGAUGGCAGCCAGUGAGCGUUUGGUUACUGGGUCUGUCCGGUGGGAGAUGGUUGCGCGGGAUAUCUUCAACCGGUUUGGAUGGCGGUCGUGUAAUAGGAUAGGUGAUUAGUUUUCCUAUCUUUUUUCUGCCAGCCGGUUGUGGCUUUGUGGCCUUUGUUAUGUUUGCAUCGAGGCUCUGUGUGAGCUUCCCUCUAUUUACAUUUUCAGACUUUCAGACUCUGUAAAGCCUUUUUACUUAUAUUUAUGACCGUAUGCAUCGUUCUGAUGCAGAGGCCAGGGAGCCCCCCUUUUCUAAAAAAACCAAAAAGGCAGGGUUACUUACUUUUAUGGAAUGGAAAAACUCUUAAAAAUUCCAGCAAUUGACUCAUGUUUGUUAAUCAAAAGAAGAAAGGAGUAUAGCGAUCCCGCAUAUGACAAAAAUUUAAACAAAGUACUUCGCGCUAGAAACAUCUCGCCAGAGUUCAUCAACCCAACAUACCAUAGUUCACCACGCAUAGCAUACGGGAGUUUUUACAAACCAUAAUAAUUAUACAUAGCAUAGGGGCACCGAAACAUAGCAUAGGAGAUCUACUAGCCCCCGGAGGGGGUGGGCAGGGGUCUACUUCACCGGGGUUCUACUCGUCCGAGUCAGAGUCGUCACCCUCGUCAUUAUCGUCGCUGGAGAUGACCUCGGCGGGCAGCGGCUUCCCUCCAUGAAUGGUGUCAUAGAUGAGGUCGCGGUAGAUCCGGGUUUGGAGUUGGUACUCAUCCCAGAGCGUCAGCAGCCGCACAACCGCAACCGCAUCUUCGGCAUCGGCGGCGGUUCUCGCCUCAAACCACGCCCACUCGGCCUCCCACUGGCGCUGGAUCGCCGAGUCA